GUUGGAACAAGGUUAAGUAUGGUCUAAAUUUAAUUCUAAUUAUGGUAUUAAAUUAUUAAUUAAUAUAAUUAAUAUAUUUAAAUCAUUAUUUAUUGUUUAAAUAAUAAAAUGAUUUAUUUAUUUAUUAUAUAAUUAAUUAUUAAUAAUUUAAUGUAUUUAUCUAUAAACUAAUAUAUUUAUAAAGAUCAACCAUUAAUAUUUCUAUUAAUCUAAUUAAACUUUUUUAUUGGUUAUCUAGCUAAAAUAAUUCACUAACUAAUUAAAAAAUUAAAUUAUUUUUUAUAAUUAAUUAAUUAAUUAAUUAAUNAUUAUGAUUUGGGUUAAACCGGAACUCCCGUAUGUUAUAUAUUUAUAUAUAACUUAAUGUAAAAAUGUUAAAUCACGUACAUCCAUCAAAUACGUGUUCAGAUACAUGCCAACCGUUAUAUCUACCAUAUCUUUAUAAAUCAUUUUGAAUAGAUCAAUUGUAUCUUUAGGCAGUGCUUGGUUCGGGAACAAGAGGGGAACAAGCCCUUAUUCCCCUCUUUGUUUCUGAACACUGAAGGAACAACCUAAUUUUCAUGUAAAUUAUUUUAAAUUUAUUAAUUAAAUUUACUACUAAUAAAUUUAUUAAAUUAUUUUUAAGUAAUAUUUUGAUAUUAAUUAAUUAGAUAAAAUAAUUUUAAUUUAAAAUUAUAACUCUUAUUUUUCUUGUUCCAAUCUAACCAUCCAAACACUAUUUACCUUAUUCCUAACAAUAACCCCAAUUUUCAUUUAAAUGUAAAAUUGGUUUAAUUCUUACUUAUACCUGAGCUUGCACAUAUUCCUGAAAUAAGCAGUUCUUAUUUAUACCCGAAUGAAACGCAGCCUUACUUAGGGGUGCAAACGAGCCGAACACGAGCGAGCACGGCCUUAUUCGUAUUCGGUCGUAUUAGAUUCGAGCCGAAUUCGAGCUGACUCGAAUUAAUUUCGAGCCAGAAUAAGACCCUUUCGAGUUCGGCUCGAAAUCAAAAUCGAGCCAAAUUCGAGCAGCUCGAAAUAUUUUUUUUAUUUUAUUUUUCGAGCUAAUUUCAAGCCAUGUUCAAAUUUGGCUCGGAAUUGUUUGAUUCCGAGCCAGCUCGUUAAUAGCUUGAAAUUCUUUAUUUUUCUUUACUUUUUUCAAUUUUAAAUGUUUAUGAAUAUUUGCCAAUAUUACAUUAUAUAAAUUUAGCUACAAUCCAAAUAAAACUACAAUCAAUAUAAUUAUAACCAACAUACGUGCUUAAAUGCACGCAACAAUUAAAAAAAAUCUCAAGAAUAAUUUGAAAUUUGAAAAUAACUUACAUCUCUAUAUUGGCUCCCAUUUCCAAUUGCUUGAAGAUAAAUAGAGCUAUUUUGGAGAUAAAAAGAAAUUAAGCAAAUUUCGAAUUAAAAUAUAGAUUCACACUAGAUAUCUUUCGGCUGGUAAAAAUUUGGAUAAGUAUAUUUUUUUUCUAUUUUAGAGAUAAAGAAAAAUUAAAAAGUUUGUUUCAUUACGUUAUUUAUUUUACGUAAGGAAAGAGAAAUCAAUUUUUUUUUUCCGCUAAAAAACUGGUCGGUCGAAAUUUGAAAUACGCGCGUGCUUAUAUAUACUCAUAAGAGUAUCGUAGCUCUAGCAUAUAUAUAUAUAUAUAUAUAUAUUCAAACUAUUUCGAGUGGAGCAUGAACAAGAAAAGCCUGCUCGACCUCGGUUUGAAAUUAUUUUCGAGCAAAAAAAUUUAGCUCGUUUUAUAUUUGAAAUUAAUUUCAAACAAGUCAUUUUCGAGCCUAUUUCGAAUCGAACGCAAGUUGGCUCGCGUGCGGCGAGCUAGACUUGCAGCCCUAGCCUUACUAUAUAAAGAGUAAUGAAUAAGCAACUCAAGCUAUGCAAAUUUUUGUUGCAAAAACAUGGGUUCUGUGGUGACCAAGUCUAAACCUCUCUUAAUUGCCCCAUCCAAACCAACCCCUAGGGGGAAACUCUCUCUCUCUCCAAUUGACAAGAUCCAAAUUUUGCAAUCCGUACUUAUUCCAUCUAUACAUGUUUUCGCACACGGCGAUAGUGGCAGCAGCGUUGAGAUAGUUAAUACGAUAAAACAGGCAAUAUCGGAAGCACUAGUUCUAUAUUACCCGCUUGCAGGUCGACUUAUGGAAGUAGGGGACGGGGACCUCUGCAUUGAGUGCAAUGGAGAAGGAUUAGGCUUCGUCGAGGCGUCGGCGGAUUGUAGCUUGGAGGAUGUGAAUUUCUUGGAGCACCCUUAUGUGAUCCCGUUGGAAGAGCUCGUAGUAGAUCAUCGCGGUUGGAGAGUAACCGAUCCUCCCGUCGUUAUGCAGGUUUCGUAUGACUACAAAGGUUCAUUAAUUCCUUAAUCGAAAAGAGUUGUAAAUAGUGGCGCGAUAAGUGUAGUUGUUUUUCUUUUAGAGAUAGGUAACACGCUACCCGCUUCGUUUAUUUUAUUUAGAAAUAAACUUAGCUAGAAAUGUGAAUCAACUAGGAUUUGAACUUGGGUCUCAGAUACCAACUACCAAACCCUUUGCCACUUGCUCUAGGGACGGUCGGUGAUAAGUGUAGCUGUUAUUUCAAGUCAUUUAUUGGUUAAUUUACAUUAAUAUAUGUUAUGCUUAGAUCUAAGCAUGGGCCGAGCGGCUGACUUGGACCGCUCGAGCCCAAAUCAUAAUGGGUGGUCUUGGGGUUCAUUUCUUGUUAGGCCCAGCCCAGAAUAUAAACGAGUCUUAUAUUGUUUGGAUUUGGAUUUGGAUUUAGCUCUCAAAAACCUAGCUUGAGAUGCGUGUGGCCUAUGAACAGCAGGUCUAUUUAUGACUAAUCUUUUGGUGUAUUUUGUUAGUAAGCAUACAAAUUACUUACAUUCACCAUGCAUAUAUAGGUAACCAAAUUCACCUGCGGUGGAUUCGCCGUCGGCUUUGCAUGGCACCACUCACUCUCCGACGGCACCGGAGCUGCACAAUUCUUGAAUGCUGUAGGCGAGCUCGCUCGCGGCCUCCCACGCCCAACCGUCAACCCGAUUUGGGCCAGGGAUUCUCUCCUCGAUCUUCCCCCGAAAAUGCCCUCAUUACCUUUAUGGACUCCGAACUUACUCGAGUUACGGUGCUCCGAGCUGAACAUGCCCUUAGAUUACAUCAAUCGAACUAAGGAAAACUUCUUUCGACAAAUUGGACAAUCGUGCACCACAUUUGACGUGGCCUUGGCCACAAUUUGGCAGUGUCGGACACGAGCAAUAGGCUUAGAACCUACUGAACCAGUGCAGGUGUAUUUUGCGGUGAAUGUCCGCGAAAUGCUACAAGCUCAACCAGGCUACUACGGAAAUAGCAUUUUCAUCCAAACCGCCUCAUCGACUAGUCAGGAGAUUGCAAAGGCACCUAUUGUUGAGAUUAUUAAAAUCAUUAGAUCUGCCAAGGGUACGGUUUUGACUGAACUAGCUAAAUGGAAGAGGGGCUUACUGAAAUGCAGCCCUAUGGAGCAUGUUGAUCUCAGCUACAACACGCUUGGCAUAACUUAUUGGAAAAAUUUAGGGUUCGAGCACGUCGAUUAUGGAUCAGGUAAGCCGUUUUUGGUGACCGUACAUAAUGAAUAUAAGUUUGUCUCCUUCUGCAUACUAGGUUUACCGCAUACUCGCGAAAAUGGGGUUUAUAUAAAUGGACGCAUUGUUAAGAAGGAACACUUAGAAGCAUUCCAUGAAGAAAUGAAGCUGCUAGAAUAAUUUCAAAGGAAAGAGGGUUUUCAUCACCAAUAAUAAUACGAAUGGUUUGUACCGUCGAAUUAGUUCGAUCGCCUUACGAUCGAAAAUCAAUAAAUGCCUUGUAAUUUUUAGAGAUUCUCUAACUCUCUAAAAGGAGUACGUGCAUAUGGCUUGCAUAUCUAUAUAUGUAUUUUGUUUGUAGCACACAAAAAUAAAAAAAGAAUGAAAUUUGUUAUGGUAAUUACUUGUGUUUAUUUCUUUGCUUUAAAAUUAAUAGAGGAAUUUCAAAACUAUAUACUUUAACUUCAACAUCAUAAAACAUACCCAAUGUGUUACACACCCAACUAUUUAAUUAAUUAAUGUGUUGCAACUCGUUUAGCUCUAUAUAUUAUAAACAUAAUGCUCCAUAUCCUCAUAUAAAAACAUUAUCUUCAAAUUUUAAUAGUAGAGAUCACUAGCUAGCUCCUUGGAUGUUGCCAUUUAAACCAACACAUAUCUUUUCUAAAUCUCCACAAUAAUCAUUCAUUUGAAGCCCUUAAAACAUGUCACUUAUAUAUAUAUAAUAUAGGCAUUACAUAAAGGAGCUUUUGCUACAUAUAUAUACUAUUAUUCUAUAAAUAAGUCACCAUCUUGUGUGUUUUAUUUAUUUAUUUUGUUUCCAUCAAUCCAUCAUUACCUUGGAAUUCCAUGAUCUGACCCACCAACAAUCAAUACAAGAUUGAUUACUCCCCAAGCAUAUUUUUCCUCCUUUAUUAAUUGCUUUUGUACCCUUUUGUCUUAACCUUAAUGGGGCUACUCUUUGGACUUGCUUGGGAUUAUUAUUAUUUGAGUAGAAUUACAUACAAAAUAGGUGAUAGAUUUUCUAAACUCUAGCUCUUUGGUAAACAAGCAUCUGAAUUUUUAAUUUAGCAAUUAGAUAGUCUAAACUUAAUUAGUAAAAUAGUAUAAUAUAAGCAAAAGUUUCAAAUUGGAACUUGCUUUUAUAGCUAAGAAGAUCAUUUUAGCUUUUUGUUAAUGUAAAAGUUUAAUUAAGACAUUUUGUCUACCAAAUGCUUUUGUAAAACAGCUGUUUAUCUUCAGAAUAAGAUUACACUACUAGAGACAGAUGUUUAAAUAUUUUUUAUUUAUCUUUUGAUAGAUUCAUGACAUGGGCUUAGAUUUAAUUAGGAAAAACUAAAUGAGGUUAAUUAGGCAACUAAUAGGAUUUGAACUCAUAACCUCUUAGAAACUUUUUUGAACUUCUAGUAGACCCUGAAACUGGAUAAGAAAUAAAUAAGAAAAAACUUAAAUAAGACUAGGUCUGGUUCAUUCGAACUUAUGAUCUCCAGAUUUGAUAUGGUGUAAAAUAAUUAUUUAUUUUUUAAAACAACAAACUAUUGGAGAACGGUGUUUGGGUUCUAAGUUUCUUAUAUUCAACAUAUAUAUGAGAGGGCCCUACUUUUGUUUAUCUUUAUAUAAAGUUAGAAAAGAAAAGGACUUAAGCACCAUAAGAGCAAUUACUUGUGAACUCAACUAAGAGAUCUAGUGGUGAAUUUCAUUAGGCCAAUUAUGGGGGGUUUUGACUAGCCAUCCUAGGUUGUUAGGAUUAGAAGUAAAACUUACUCUACACUUUAAAUUUCUUUUUAACCUUCCACAAAUAUGGUAGUCAAUUAAUGGCUUCUAAGAUUAUAUUAACAUACAAAUCACACUUCACAAAAUCAAAUUCUAGUGUUCAUGUGUAGUGAGAGAGAGAGAGAGAGAGAGAGAGAGAGAGAGAGAGAGUAUAAAGCAUAAGAUGUUCUUUUUUAAGAAAGAAUAGUAUUUAGCAAAUUAAGUUGAUUAAUGGCCAAAAAAUACAUUAGUUGGGUGCAUGGUUGUUGUUUGAUGUGGAAAAGCUGUUGAGACAUUCCAAUCACUUAUUCUUUUCAGAUAAUUAAUUGAAUGCUUCCUCCUCCUCUAUUCAAUGCCUAGUUUUAGCAUGUGCAUUUUCUACAGUUCUGUGAUCCGUAUCUAAUAUCAUACAAAUAUUUUAUUAUAGAUGGACGACAAGAUCAUAUGAUGUAUGCAGACACUAAAUCAAAAUGACAUUCAUUAUCUACACUAUUUAUUUUAUUUUAUUUUUUUUUCUAAGUUGCCUGUAGGCUCCAAACCCCUUAUUUUUGACAUGCAGAUGCGAGUAUUCUAAUCCUAACCUGUAAAUAGCAUAUCAGAUAACAACCAACUAUUCUAGAUAGUGAAAAAAAAAACCCUUCUCGAUCAAUAACCAUUAUUUUAUAUAAAAACAACGACAUCCAAUCAAAAAUCUUCGUAAUGCACACAAGUACCCAAAAAAAUGUUAUUAAACAAGAUAAUUUUAAUACAUAUAUAAUUCUAAGCACAAAUUCCUAUAUGCACACGAGAGUUGUGGGUGUUGGUGUGUAGGAGCUAUAUAUAAAUAGCAACCUCAUGAGGCUCUUAGACAAGGCCAAAAAUGCCCACCAAAUUGCUUAAAUUUCUUCUUUGUCUCUACAUACAUAUGGAGAGGUAAUUUUCUUAAUUUGUUUCUCUUCCUUUAUUUUUUUUCUAACAAAGAAAAAAAAAUCGACAUUAAGAAACAUCAAGGAGAUAUACAUGUUAUGCAUGCUUUAAUAUUCGUGAUUAAUUACCUUCAUAUAUUUCUUUGUUGUACCACUCAAUAACUUGUCAAGCCAUGUAUAAGUCUAUGAAAGUGGUAAAAAAAAAAAAAGAAAAACGAAAAGAAAAUGAAAAGUUUUGAUCGGAUGAUUAUGUUCUUGUAAAUUAGAUUCUUAAUUAAGAAGCCUUUACUUUAGAUUAAUGUAUCAAUUAAUCGAUCACUAGAAGUUAUUAAUUUUCUUCUUUUUUUGGGUUUUCUUUUUUAAGAGAGAUAUGCGCGCUAACUUAAGUGCAUGUUUAAUUAGUCCUUCAAAUAACUUAGCACUAGAUGAUGAUGAUGAUGAUGAUAAUAAUAAUAAUAAUUAAAAAAUUGUAACUAAAUGGCUAAUUUAAUUUCAUCUAUUAAUUGUCUUUGACUAUUCUCAUAUUUGGGAAACUUUUUCUAGAGAGUUUAUGCUCUUGUUUUCUAUGAACCUGAACUCUAACCAAGAGGGAAUAUGUAAACUAUUCCCACAACUAAAUUUUAAUAUUGUUAUUAUUAUUUUUAUUUAAAUGUUCUCUAGUGUCAUAUUUAUGUAAUUAAAAUUAGGAACUCUACAUGGCAUAAUUCCCUUAUUAUUUUUUAGAAACUUUCUUCAUUAACCAGCUUUAUUAUGAUCAAUAAUUUAGUAACAAAUUUAGUAUAUAUGCUUCUCAUCUCCUUAUAAUAAAUAUGUUAAGAGAUUCAAUUGUCAUCUAGAUUUCUCCCUCUUUUUGGUUUUUGUUUUUCCUUUUUGUUGUAGUUUCAUUUUGGUUUUCCUUUUUUGGUGAUCCAUUGGUGAAAGAAAAGGUUUAAAAUAGGCCAAACAUAUGGGACUUGGGCACAUGCUUUGGCAACAUGUAACACUUUUAUUAAUUAAGGGACAAUGCAUGGCAUCUAUAUAGCUAAUCUAGGUAUUAUAGGUAUAUUACAUACAAAUCAAAAACUAUACAUAAAAGUUAUAGCUAGCCCUAGAGGAUAGGUUAUUGCUCGACGCUUCGAGAAAAGCUAAGGUUUUGUGCUGUAUUAGCUUCCAAAUCGCUCUCGAGAUAUCGAGGAUUUGUACGUUUGGCCAAACACAAUCAUCCCCCUUUAUCGAUUCGCCUCUUUGUUUACUGUACAAAAGUGUUGCUGAAGCUAGAAGUGAGAGCUUUUAAUCGAAUUAGAGUUUUUCGAUUUCGAAAGUUACAUAUGGGGGCGUAUUUUGAGCCUCUUGCUUGAGAUAGACAUGCUUAAUUUUCAUCAAAAAUCAUGUCUCCUUCUUAAUUAAUCCUCAAGUAGAAAAGCUGUUUCAAAAGGUAGAAAAGUAGAGAUGACAGUACGUGGGCCGGGUCAGGUAUGGAGCAUGUUACGACGAGCGCACGAAUAGAAAAUGAAUAUAAAUGACGAUCACAAAGUAGACAAACCACAAACAGUAAAAAAAAAAAGAUAGAACACAACAAUUUACAUGAAAAACCCUUUGUAGAGAAAAAAAAAUCCAUAGGUAAAGGAAGAGAGAACUUCACUAUACAAAAAAAGAAUACAAUAGUGUGAGAAGUCUAAUACGCUAUAUCGCCUUUAGGGCAAAAAGAAGAAAGAACUUUCUUAACGGAUUUGCUCAAAUCGCUUCCACCGCAGGCAUUUCCUUUUUUCUUCACAAAUCGAUUUUCAAAAUUUGUCACACCACGAAGUUGUCGAAACCAAAUUUUGAGGCAUAUCUAAUAGAGCAUACUAACUUGUUUUGAUUAAUUGGGUAGGGUACACAAAAUUUGACUUAGGCAAACUUUUUUUUUUUUUCAAAUGUGACCAAAAAAUUCAAACAUGUUUAAAACAAGAAAAGAAGCAAUAAUAUAGAAAAAAGCACUGGUGCCCAUUGUAGAUAGUGUGCAUUUUUUUGAUUGUGUAGUUCAAACAAAGCUUUUGCACCCAUGUUUGGGUCUACAUGGAAGAUCCUAAUUGUAGAAGGACAAAUUAGAGGAGCCAAUUGAUUGGCAUAGUUAUAGUGUCAUGUGAAUCGAGGAGAAAGGUACAAGUUUGGUGAGAGAAAAGGGUACUAGGUAAGUAUAUAUAUAUAGACCUAAUAAAUAUUGUAUAAAAAAAGAUCAAUGAGGGUAGUGUCUUAUAUUUAUUUCACACUCAACUAACCAUAAUAUGAGGCCACCUUUUGUUGGCUUUAAUUUAAAGUCACUUUGUAUUCAAGUCUUAACUCUAGAAAUUUGUUUUGUGAGAUUUUAUAUAUAUAUAUAUAUAUAUAUAUAUAUAUAUAUAUAUAUAAUAUGAGGCCACCUUAGCUUGUUUGGCUUGUUUAGAGCUUUAUACAUUUGUUGUUUAAAUAUAGCUGUUUGAAAAGUAGUUCGAAAAUUUUGCUCGAAUCCGGCCAAAAGUGGUUGACGUUAAGUUAAUAUAAGUUUUUCGAUUAUGAGCAUUUGCUUUUGGAACUCAAAAUCUCAUUUUCUCUUUUUAUCAGAAUAAAGGAGUAUUGUUUAUUUAUACGAACACAGUCAAUUUUUCUACUUACAAAGGAUUUCCUUGAAUUGGAUUACUAUAUGUCUAUUGUCAGUAUAGUUGGUACACGAAUAUUAUUCUUUUAUAGUAUAUCCACAAACUGGCUUACUGCUUAAUUAGUUACUGCUUUAUUUUUCUAUGGGACUAAAUAAAUUCUAUUAUAACUAAAUCGUCACGAUCGAUCUCCAUAAUGUGAUAUCUUUUACAGAAACAACCUUGAUGUAGUGCCAUUGCACUUCCUUACCAUGCGUAUGCAUCCUCCCCAAAAUUCCAAACGGAGCCUUCCUAGGGUUAGGCCUCAUUAACAAUGCGGGUUGACCAUAUUGCAUUAUGAUCAUCAUCAACCAAAACAAAGUUAAAAAAAAAAAAAAAAAGAAGAAGAAGAAGAAAAAUUGAAAUGACAGAAAAAUAAAUGUGAUCAAAACUGUAGGUAGGGGUCAACUAUAAAUUAUAUCCUUGUCUCAUAAUGUACAUAAAAUUGCACAGGGAUAUGUUCUUUUCCUUGUCCUUGUCUGGCUCUUUCAGAGACAGCUAAGUAGUUAGGUUGGCCCAAUAGAUUAAUUAAUGUACUUUGUAGCUUACACAUAUAAUACUAUGAUUAGCAAAAAUUAGGGUGGUGCAAAACUCAAAGUAUCAACUAUAUUCUAUUUGAUUGUGAAGGGAAAGUUAACUGUGAAACUUGUGAUCACAUUAACAAGGACAUGAUCUACAUGGUACUUUGGUGAUGCUAAUGAUUGAGCAUCUUAUGUAUAUGUACAUGAAUUUAGAGUAUUCAUGGAGCAUCUACUUCCCACCUACUGAUAAUAAGUUGUCGCAUAAUUAUUUUUAUUUACUAGCAUAGUCGAUAAGAAUAUUUUUAUUCACCUCAACGUACACUCUUUUGAUCGUUGAUAGGGUUUAAAGAUUUUAAGCACUAGCUAUUUUUUUACUGAAAGUUUACGAUAGCAGAGUACGGCAUUUUAUUUUAUAUUCAACGCUUGCGGUAUCCCUGUAGCAUUUAUGGAGCAUCUAUUUUAUACUUUUUUUUUUUGGCUUAAUUACUUUAGCAUCUUAUCAAUCUAUAUACAGUAUUAUAGAUAUAAUUUUAGCUUUUUUCCUAUAUUAUUUUCUUCCUUCUUAAAUAUCACUAAAAUAUCAUUUUCACUGAUCUCUACACUGUUGCGAACAAAUCAACUGUUUUAGACAGAAACUAUAUAACUACUUUACUAAGAGACAUUACUAAAUAGUAGGAAAAAAAGAAAAAUGACCAUUCCAUAAUAGAUUUAUCGAAAGCUUAUAUCAAGUUAUUUUCAGCUAUAUUUUCCACGGUAUUUCUAGUUUUAAAAAAAAAAAAUUUGUUAAAAUGGGUCAAAUAUAUGGUCUAUUAUUUUGAAUUAGUAUUUUUUGAUAAAACUACUAGUUUUCUCUAAAAUUGUAGAUUUAUUAUUUGCAUCGCAAGAAUUAUAAAAAAACAAGACAGUUUAGUGGUGUCUUUAAAAAGAAAUAGUACAAUAUAACAAAAAAAAAAUCUAAAAAAACUAAAACUAUAGUAUAGUGUAGUACAAUAUAGUACAGUUAAGCCUAUUUUUCUAUUGUUUGUUUAGACUCAAUAUCAAUUAUUUUUUUCUUUAAAACACCUUAAAUUAGUGGAGAAUAUUGUUCUAACCAAUAUUUAUUAUUCUCAACAAAAAGGGUGGGGCAUACUGUCCUGACCUUGCUCCUCACCUAGCUUACCCUCCCCCCUUCCUCCCUUCCCUCUCUAGCUUGUAAUCUCGGUUUUUUCUUUCUUCACUGUUUUCACCUUUUGCCGCUUUCGGAGGCCGUUGUUGCUUCCAUUCUGUACACUUAAUUCAUUCCGCUUUAUGAAUGAAGCAUGUAGCUUGCUAUUUUUUUCUCAAAAAAAAAAAAAAACAAAACAAAACAAAACAAAAAAGGUGGAGGGGAGGCACAAAAGGAAACUUCUGCAGGUCCACUCACACCCCACCAUUAUUCCUAGUCCAUUGAUCAUGUUCAUCCUAGCAAUAGCUAGCUUUUCUGUUCAUCCCUUGUUAGUGCCUUCACAUGAUUGUUGAAGAAUCUACCUUUUUACUUUUCCUUAAUCUAGUGGAUUAGGAAUCCGAAGCUCCCUUUUAUGUUUAAUAUAUAUUAUUAAUUAUGAGUACUGCAUACUAAUGCGUAUCUUAAAAGAUCUCUUUAAUUAGAAGCUGGUGAUCAUCGAUACUUUUCCUCACGUUUGGAUUCGAGAUACUUUAAAAGGCUCAGAACAUAAACUUAAUGAGACUAGAGUUUGACGAAAUUCAAGUUUAGAAUCUACAGCUCUGAUGUCAUGUUAAAAGCUAUAUAUUAGGGGAUGUUAGAUAUGUCUCGAAUUCUAGUUCCAUAAGGUUUUUUAACCCUAUUUUGUUUUGAUUAUCCCAUUAAGUUAAGUUUAGAUUAUGCCUAAUCUUAUUAAGAUAUUCUUAAUCUUAGUAGGUUUGUAUUUCCAGUUGUAUUAUGAUUUAACCACUAUUAUAAAUAUACCCUUUCUGCUAUUCAUUUGGUGCGGAAGAUGAGAGAGGGAAUAUGAGUGUAUUUUUUGGGAUUAGGGUUUUAUGAGAUAGACAUAUUUUGUACACCACUUUAAUUAUAAUGAAGAUCUCCGCUCCGUCUUCGUCCGUGGACGUAGGUCGGUGGCCGAACCACGUAAAUAUUGUGUGUUUUCUUUUUCUUCUCUCUUUCUCGGAUCUCUUUUGAUAUUUUCGCAUCCGACGAACUAGAUCUUUUCGGUUUUAGUUCCAAGAGAGGAAGUUGUUUUUAAUAUUAAUGUUCAACUGUUGUUAUCUUUUGUUUAUAAUUUAAAAUCUAUUUAUAUUCCCAUGAUUCCAGGUUCUUAUGCUUACCAAACCUCCUAUUAAAUCCCAUAGAAUGUGAAUCAGUGUAACAACAACAACUCUCAAAGUUGCAAAAGGGAAAUAAAUUAUUUAAUCAUACUGAUAGGAAGUCUCCUUCUCUCUUUUUUUUAAAAUUCUUUUCUGUACCUUCUCAUUAAAUGCUGUCUUUGUUUUUCUUUUCCUGAUCUAUAUGUGCAGAAAGUCCCCAAGUCAGAUUGUGAGCUGCAGAAACCAACAAACCAAAAUAAGAGCUCAGAACUGGUGGGUAUUUAUAAAAAAUUCAAAAAAAAAAAAAAAAAACCAUGGAGUUUUUCACUCUGUUUGUUUUCUUUUCUCUUCAUUUUUCUUACUCUUGGCCACUUUUUUUUGGGCAUCCCUUGUGGAUGACGAUAUUAAUAAAUUCAAGUAGUAUUACUACAGAUCCAAUAAAUCUGAUCUGCGACGUGUAGUAAAUAUGUACGUAUCAAUGCCGCUUCUUUCUUAGUUAUAUGAAGAUAUACAUUUCGGAUAAGCCGAGUAAACUAGAAAAUGUGAAAGAACAAGAGCUGCAUAUAUAUAUAUAUAUAUAUAUAUAUAUNUUGUUUUCUUUUCUCUUCAUUUUUCUUACUCUUGGCCACUUUUUUUUGGGCAUCCCUUGUGGAUGACGAUAUUAAUAAAUUCAAGUAGUAUUACUGCAAAUUGAAUUGAAGGGUCCAUUAUUUCUCUGCCACAGUCCUUUUUCAGAUAGAGGCAUUUCCCUCAGGCAUAAAUACAAGGAUUAAGUAACUCCAGCAGUGUGCAUCAAGUUAGCAGAGCAUUAAUUUCUUUACUAUGUUACCAAGGCCUUAGAAUUUUACCCUUUUUUUGUUUUCUGUUUUUUUGUUGUUUCCUCUACAUUGCUUUGAGCCAUUUUAUAGUACUGGAUUUUACUGCUGGGAAGAGCCAAAUGUCACAUCCAUCAUUUUAUGCCACUACCAUACCAGCACAAUCACAUCUUCUAGUUAAAAGAUCACUCAAAAGAGGAGGAGAAAAAAAAAAAAAGGUAAAUAAAACAUGAGGAAUACUUCAAUACAUCAUAAAUAUUAAAAUUUAAUUCUUAAUUAGUAAAGAAUAUAAUUGAAUUUUACAUGAAGUAACCUGUUGAACAGAUUAUCGAUUUGAAUAGUCAAUAUGACAAUAUUAGAAAAAAAUUAAUAAUAUAUAUCAAAUUUGUCAGCAUCCUAUAAAUAUUAAAUAUCUGAUUUACUUUGGUAACUUACCAAAUUAGAUAAUACUCAAUUUGUUAAGUAUCUAGCUCAAAAAACUAUUGAAUUUAAAUUUAAUUUUUGAAGUUGGUAUUGUAAUGUAAAUUUUAAUUUUGAAAUUUAUAUUAAACUUUUAAAUUUGAAUCUAAAUUGAACUUUUAAUUUUAAAGCCAAAUUUUAAUUUUUUGAUUUAAAUUGAAAUUUUGAAUUGGAACUGAAAGUUUUAUUUUAAAUUUGUGUUUUAUAUUUAAAAAAAAUUAAAUUUGAUUUAUAAUUAAGUUUUAAAUGUUGUUUUGAAAUUAAAUUUUACAAUUUGAUUGUAAUUUGAAUCCUACUAUUGUUGUAGGCAUUUGAAAAGGUCACAGUAUUUUUAGUUGGAUAAAACUGGUUUUGUAAACCAAAAGAUUUUACAAAGACCAAAAUACCUUUAAAUAGAUAUACCUGGUCAAUGGUACCUAUACUUCAAUAGUAGGUCACCUUUAGAGUAAUAUUAAAUCUAAACCAUCUAUUAAGAAAAAUAAAUUGUCGAGAUUUAUAUAGUGUAUUGAAGCAUUACUCAUAAAACAUAUAUAUUCAUCUCGUAGAUACCAGCUUGGGAUAUGCGAUAGUUAAUGAUUAGUUUAACUUUUCAGAAUAAAUAUUUUAGUGUAGUGUUUUUUUAAAAAGUUAAAAGGCUGAACCCCUACUAGUCGCUAUAUGCACUAUUAUAAUGCAUGCCGUCUCAUCAAUAGUAAAAUAAUUUUCAUAUAAGUUCCCCUUAAAUUUUUUUUUUAAUCUUUUUAUAUAAGUUCCUGAGUUUCAAUUUUCUUUUUGUUAUUAAAGUUUCUAUUUUAAUCUACAUGAAAAUUAAGCUUGUAGUCAUUAGUCAACCCUGAACAACCAAAAAAUCAGCAUUAAUUUCACCUUUGAUGAUGAUUACAGAAUAUUGCACAUGGAUGACUCCUCUUUUGUUUUUUUUUUGUUUUUUUGUUUAAGUUCCUUGCAUGACACAAACCUUGCUUUGUCCUUGUUUGUGUGAUCCCAGAUUCCUACUCAGAAAAGAAAAAAACAAAAAAAAUACAAAAACACAAAAAAAAAAUUGUGUUCUCAUCAGUGGCUCCACCCCUCCUUAGUCAACUGCUUGUGUCCCCCCCACCCUUCUCCACCCAUGGUGAUAGAGAGAGAGAGAGAGAGAGAGAGAGAGAGAGAGAUGCAGAGAGAGAAGAGAGAGAGAGAGAGGGAGGUAUCAUAAGAUCUCAUAAAUUCUCUCAACCACUCAACUAAACAGCUCCAAUCUUCUGCAACCAAAAAGGAAAAAGGAAAAAAGAGAGAGCCAUGAAGCAGGAGCUUAAGUUCAGAGAUGAUCAAAAGGCUUCAUCCCCAGCAGCAGCAGCAGCAGCAGCUGCUGCUUCCAGGAGUAGUAGAGCUUUUAGAGGCAGAAGAGAGAGCCCAAGAUCAUCAGAUUCUGCAAGUGCCUCCUCACCAUUUCUCAAAACCAGGCCAAAGCCACCCCCUCCUUCAGAACCACCACCCCCACCACCACCAACAAGAAUAAUAAGAUCUUCCACUUCUACUACUGCUGCUGCUGCUGCUGCUGCUGAUGCUGCUCAUGCAAACAAAAUGAGACCAAACAAUGAUCAUCACGAUCACCGGCCUGCCGCGGGGCGAUUCGCAGAGCAGUUUGCGCAGCUGCGGCCGGACGCGAGGGAGCUGCAGAGGAGGAGGCUGGAGGAGAGUGAGAAGGUGGUGAGGGAGUUGAGGGGUGAGGUGUCUGCACUGAGAGCUGAGCUGAAGAGGCUGCAGGGUGCCAAUUCUCAGCUUGAGUUGGACAACAAGAGGUUUGCUGACAACUUACUGGCUGCCCAGGAAAGGAUCCAACAGCUUGAGAUGCUGAAUCUGAAUUGUCAGGUAAAACAAAAAGUUUAUCUUGUUCAGAAAUCAAUCAUGGUAUCUUGUACCGCAUUCGUGUCGGGCCGAUUUUAGAUCUUUUCGGGUCGUGUCGUGUGUCGUGUUCUGAAACUGAGAAAAUUGAUAACCAUCUUUUAGAACAGUUCCAUUUCCUACAUAAAAUUGAUAACAAGUUAAUGCUCAUUUCAUUCUAUCCAAUCCAUGCGUACGAAUCCUUUUUUCAGGAUGCGAGAAAGUUCGCAGCGGCAGAUAAACUAGAACAACCGAAAGUAGAAGAUGAAACCGACACCGACACCGACGAAACACAGUUGGUGCAAUUGACGCAAAGAGCUCAACCUCCGGAACUCGCGAAACAUAAGGAAUUGAAUGCAAAGUCCUCUCCAACUCCUCCUCCUCCUCCUCCUCCGCCGCCGCCUCCUCCUCCUAUGUCGCGCCAAGCACCCCCCUCGAAGUCGAAUUCGGUUAAUAAAGCUACCGCAUUGGUUGAAUUGUACAACUCGUUGACGAAGCGCGACGGAAAGGACUCGAAGGGGAGUGGAAGCUACUCAAAUAGUGUUGGUGCCAAUCCCCAUCACAGUAUCGUCGGAGAACUCCAGAACCGGUCGGGACACUUGUUGGCAGUAGGUUCUCGGCGUUCUUCGAUAUGGUUGUGCUUGUUUUGUUGCGUUUUUCGCUUUUAAUGUUCUCUCAACUGCGUAAUUACUUGCGUAGAUAAAAGCAGAUGUGAAAACAAAGGGUGAAUUCAUUAGGCAUCUUAUCGACAGAGUCCGAUCCGCAGCGUAUACGAACAUGGACGAUGUCUUAGCGUUCGUGGAUUGGCUCGACCGAGAACUCUCGACAUUGGUAAUCUUCUCAAUUGUGCAUUUUUUGAGUCGAAAAGCAAUUACAAAGAAAGCAAGUUGAGCACAUGGACUUGUUAAUUCCAGCCUGAUCGGUUUUUUUCUGAUUCUUCGCAGUCUGACGAGAGAGCUGUUCUGAAGCACUUUGACUGGCCCGAGAGAAAAGCCGACGCAUUGCGGGAAGCUGCUUUUGAGUACCGAGAUCUGAAGCGCGUCGAAGCUGAAGCCGCUUCUUUCAGCGACGAUCCCUCGUCUCCGUGUGAGGUUACUCUAAAGAAGAUAUCGAACUUGCUAGAAAAGUAUGACAAAUCAUUCCGUUACUCCGCUUCACUAAUCUUACUACUGUUAUACUGUCACUGUCGAAAAUAGUAAGCACGGAAAUGAAAUUUCUUAUAUAUAUAUGUUUUUUGUUAAGUAAUUUUCGACAUUGAUUUUAGGUUGGAGAAAAGCAUGAAUAGGCUGAUCAAGUUACGGAACUCGAGUAUGCUCCCUUACAAAGAGUGCAAGAUUCCAACAGAGUGGAUGCUCGACUCAGGAAUUGUUAGUACGGUACGUGCGUACGUUAGCUGUCAUUUCGACCAUUUUUUGCUUGAGAUUUCAAUCCAACAUAUGUACUCUAGUCGCAAUCUGCGUGUUAAGUGAUGAUACUUGAACUGUUGUUUGCUUUUCUCCCUCAGAUGAAGUUGGCUUCGAUGAAACUUGCUAAGGUGUACAUGAAGCGCGUGGUUAUGGAGCUCGACACGAAUAGGAGCCCAGAAAGGGAAACGGCGCAAGAAGCGCUUCUCUUUCAGAGCGUACGCUUCGCUUACAGAGCACACCAGGUAACAUUUGCUACUCAGUAAGGAUUCAGGACCCAAGAACACACAUGUCAGUAAUCUGACGGAAUUUCAAUUGUUGUAAUUUUGCAGUUUGCGGGAGGUCUCGACUCUGAAACAAUGCACGCCUUCGAGCAGUUGAGAGAAAAGGUUCGAUCUAACGGGAGAGGAUCGAAGGUUCUGAUUCCCGGCAUGGUGCUUUCCUAGCAAAGCUGAUAAGAGAUGUCACAGUGAUCCAAUUUUUAGGGCUUAGAGUCUUUGUAGGUAAUACGGGCAAAAUGUUAUGCUGAAAAGGCAAUGAUCUGUUUUGUUUGUUUUGUAUGUACAGGCAAAGUUGAUCCGGUGACUUAACUCGAUAAGCUGAGACUCAGUAGCUCCAAAACCGAAAUAACAGUUCCGAAAGUGAAUUGUUUGUGUAUCAUUGUUUUAUGCGGAUAACGGUGUUAGUGCUCCAAGUUUUGAUCAAUCAAAGCGAGAAAAAGUGCUUGAAUUCUGUGAACUGUUCGGUUUCAAGAAGAAGGAAAAAUAAAGUGCUUUUCACACAAAAUUGAUCUUAGUUGCAGAAGAUAAUAGACUACAAUAUCAAACACUGCUUGCAAAGCUUCAUCUGAAGUUUCACUACAGGAACAUGAACAUUCAUUUCACUAUAAUCUGUACUUUUUUUUGCUUUUAGAAGUCGAAGCCAAACAAAAAUUUCGAAGUGAAAUAGUUCUCAAAGGUUGAGAAUCCGCGAGGUGACAGGUUUCAUACAAAAGAAAGAAAGAACAGAAAGAACACAGCAAUAAUAAUACGUCGGUUCAAACUCAAAAUGCUUAUUUUGUUGGAGAAGCCUCGUCCUCGCCGUCUUUCGCCAUGAUAGAGCACAGCAUCUGCUUCGAGAUGUGAUUCUCAAGUUCCCUCGAAACUUCUGUGAGUUUGAGAUCGAAGUUUGUUCUAUACUUCUGCGGUCCAGGAGAGGGAGACCCCGAAAUCCUCCUCCGCGGGCUCGAGAACCGCUUACUCGGCGAGCCCGCGAACCAAGCCUUGGUAACUACUGGUGUGAUCUCACUUACCAACUUCAUAUGCUUUCUUGCCGAGUUUACUAGAGGCCCUUGCUUCGUCUCUAAUGGAAGCGGUUUCAUCGGAGAUAGUCGGUGUGGGAGGUUUUGUCUAAUCCUCUCUCUUGCUCUCUCCGCGGCGAUCAUUGCCUUCUCUUUGCUCAUCUUUAUAAGUUUCCACGGGUUGAUCUCGAAACCGACCUUUUUGUUUGAAGCAUUAGGUUCUUUCUCGAUUCUUAUCGAUAAUCUUCGAGCACUCUGCAGUUUCCGUAAGUGAAUUUUGGUCAGGAUCAUGUGUAUUGCCCGAACAAAAGGAGUGAAGAAGAGCGAGCGCAAAACUUACUCGAGAGAGUUCACUUCUUCUGCAUAGAAAUCUAGAGAGGAACGGCGGUCUGUCUGGCGAGUCAAAGUCGACACUCUCGUCAGACGAGGAAUCGGUGUCGUCAAAUGGAUCCAUCAACUGGCUUUCUUCUCUCAUUGCUAGGAUGUAAUCAUAUGUUCUCAUUCCCUGCAGUCAUUUUCUUUUCGGCUUGUCAUUGAUCACGAAGAAAAUCUCAAGUCGAAGAAAAGGGACAGAUUCAAGUAUCCUAAACAUCUCACAUGCCAAUUUUUCACAACAUGAUACUUUUUCUUCUGAUUUUUUCCGUACUUUCGCCGAAUUACCGCGCAGUUAAAAAAACCCUCAAUCUCAAUAACUUCAAAUACUAGCAACUUAUGCUAUAGUUUAUACAUGAUGCGUAAAACCACACCUUUCGAAUGAGAACUACAUGGAAGAAGAAAAGCUGUCCGAGGGCCGCUGUACUGUACCCUGUCAGCAGAGCCAAUGAUAUCUGCACCAGAUACUUAAAUUCGAUAAAAUUACACAACUGAGAUUCUAAAUUUGAGCAAUAGUUCAAACCAAUACCGAUAUCGCGGCGAGAACUCCUUUAGGGAACUUGAUGCGGAGCUUCUGCACCAUUUCCUGCUCCAUCCCUUUGCUGUCCGCGAAGCAGCGGAUGAAGAUUGCAACUGCUGUUCCUCCCUCUAUAGUUAGCUACACGAAAAGAUCGUCGCAUUCAAAUUAUCGUCUUUAAAAACUCGCAUUUUGUCGCAAAAACAUUAAAAGAGAGAGAGAGAGAGAUUAUAGAACUACGGACCAUGAGCAAUACAAACACCAUCAGUAGAAUGAAGGUGGUGUAGUUCCUUCUCCCUAUGCAGUUGUUUAGCCACUGCCGAAAAUCUCACGGUUAGCGUAGUAGUACAUAAACAAAUUUAAAAUUUAAAAUUUACAAGCUACGCAUUUCUGAGUUAAAAUUCGCGAGACUCCGCACCCUGCAAUGGUGGUCGAAUCCGUCGACGCACCGAUCGCAACUUCUGCAGUGCUUGCUGUUCCUUCUGACCUAAAAAACGAAGAAAACAUACUCGAACCUACGACCAAAAUCUAACAAUUUUACAAAUUUGGCCUCGAAAUCGACCUCGAAAUCGCAGAGAGCGCAGAACGAGAUGUCGUCGCCUUUCCGAUGCGGCGAGACGGCGUCGUCCGUCACAACGAGAGGGAACGGCAGAAGCGGCUCCAACUGAAUGCUGCUAUUCCACUGCUCCAAAUAGUUCCUCCUUAUGCAGCAACUCAGUAUCUUAUCCUCCAAUUUUCGUAAAAAUCUCACCACAAUAUGGCAAAAAAUGUGCCUGUAAUUGAUCCGCGGGAGUUUUCCGGAUUUGGGCCCUCUCCGUUUCCUCGCGUCGGUUCGAUCGGUCGGAUCGAUCGCAGUACACCUCACGUAUAACACAGCAACAGAGAUGGCCUAUCGAAAGACGAAAAAUUCAAAAUUUUUAGCCGCAAUUCGUGUCUCUGAAACAUUCAUACUACAUUUAAUAAAAAUAAAAAAAACAAAUUGAAGGGUGCAUGAUUCAACUUACAGUGAAGGAGAACAAUGUGAGCGCCGUGUUUUCGACGAUUCGGUUUCCGAGGAACGGCCCGAGGAAGAUGUAGAAGGCGGAGACGAGGACGAUGAAAACUGCCGUCCCGACGAACUGCGUCGGCCGAAUGAGAUUUUCGUAACAACAGUUCAAUCAGUUAUUGUGAAAUUCACCAAAAAUGUGGUUAUAAAAUUGAAUUUAAGAUGCAAUUUGGCAAAAGAAAUUUUUGAAAAGUCACAGAUUCUGAAAAUUAAGAUGCAAAAUAACAAAUUUUUCAGAACCAUUUCAAAUCAGAGCGUCUGAAAUUUAAGAAAUCAACAAAACUCAAACCCUUGGUUGGUUUUUGAAUGAUGCAAACAAUUUCAAAUUAGAAAAAAUCUCAAAAUUAAGAUGGAAAUUAACAAAUUUUCAAACCUGGAGGGGAUGAAGUGGGAGCUGCCACCCAUGGCGCCGCAUGCUGCUGCAGCUUCCUUUUUUUUUGGUUUUUUCUCACACUUUUUGCUUCUUUGGAGUAAGAUUCAGGAACUAGAGCUUGUGAUUCGAGUAGGGUUUCCUUUCAAAAUCAUCAAAACCCCCGAAACUCGAUCCAAAAUCUCAUCUUUUUUUAGCUUUUCGGAGUGUUGUUCGUGUGCAACGGACUCGUAGGUGUACUGUGUACUACUGAGGGAAAAAUAAAAGCAAAAAAAAGGGGGAAAAAAAAAAGAAAAAACCAACGGUUGGAUCGGCGAGCGACACAAAUUUUUUGAAUUUUGAAACGUUAACGUCUCGGAUCCGGAAACCAUCCGGUGAGUUUAUGUGACGCGUCACCCCCCAAUUGGGCCUGGGCCUGGCCCAGCCCAAACUCUUAUUCGGUCGUGUUUGUAGAUGUUGUGCUUUGCUAUUCUGUGGUUUUGUUUUUAUUUCGCUGCAACGACCCGACGCGUCAAAUAGGUUUGAAAGAUGUGUCAGUUUACAAACCACAUGAUAGUAAAGAGAUACAUCGUAAUAAUCUUAUAUAACGCGGCGUAUUUUAACUUUACCUUUUUGUAGUUUAAAAGUUUUGCUGAACUAUAGUCGGUCGUUUUCCACGAAACAGACUUCGAGAUCGACAAUCUAUACGGUUAAACAUUAUAUAAAGUAUUUACGCAUUCUAGAAAUUGUGAUUUCUUGACAUCAUUUACUUUAUGAUCAAAAGGCUUCAAAAUUAAUAACAUUAAUUGUCAGUAUAAGAUGUUGUCUAGUUUAACAGUGUAGAAGAAUAAAAAUCGGUUGAAUUUUUAAUAGAAAAUUCUAUUCACUAUUUAGGUCAAAAUUAAUAACAUUGAUUUUAAAUUGAAGAAUCUGAUCCUCUAUUCUACAAAAUAGUUCGAUUUUAAUCAUUUAUUUUGUACCCGCUCGAUGGAUUUUAUUGUAAUUUUUAAAAAUUACAAAAGCAUUUCAAAUACUGUAAAUUAUAUUUAACGGUAUAAAUCAUCAAUUUGAAAGUUUUAUUAUUAAAAAUAUUUUAUGAGUAGGCUUUCGUACGGUUGAUCAUAACUAAAAUUAGAUAGUCAUUUUAAAAAAUAAAAGUAUAUAAAACUCAUCUGAAGUACGAACCAUUUUAAAACAAUUAACAAUAUUUUAAAAUUUUAAUUUGAGUCCGUCGAUAGCAUUUUAACUUCAUAAUUUGAAUAUGCUAUUAUUUUGGCAAGUUUAGUUAUUAUACUUUGUAUAAUUCUUAUGACUAUAAAUUUAUUAAAAUAAUAACGUAUUCAAAUUAUGGACGAUUGGACCACCUAGACCCAACUUGGCUCAACCAUCUCCCGCAUUGUUUACUCGCACGCACCGUUGAUGAGACAUCAAACGGCCACGAUUCAAUCCCCCGAUUCGCGAACUAAACCCACCGUAGACCUAAUCCCCCGCAACAUUACUACGAGUUCCGACCCCCUCCCCCGCCCAUUUAAUCCUAAACCUAAUCCUAACCCUAACCCUAACCGUAAUCCGAACACGAUCGCUCUCCGAUGGCGUCCUCCUCCUCCGCCGCGGCGGCGGCGGAAGCGACGAGCGCGGGUCCUAACCCUAAGAGGGGGAGGCGGGGGGCGGCGGAGAAGCUGUGGACGGAGGCGGAGGAGAUGGCGAUCCUGGAGGGGUUUUUGGAGUUCGUGACGGAGCGGGGGACGCCGACGCGCGCGCCCGACCACCACCACCACCACCACGACACCGCCCCCUUCUUCGAGCGGAUCCGCCCCCGCCUCCGCCGCGCCGACCUCAACCGCGCCCAGCUCGCCGACAAGCUGCGCCGCCUCAAGAGGAAGUACCGCGCCGCCGCCUCCCGCCUCGCCGCCGCCCCCUCCGCCGCCGCCGCCGCCGCCUUCAGGACCCCCCACGACCGCGCCACCUUCGAGCUCGCCCGCAAGAUCUGGAGCCCCGCCACGCCGGCGCCGGAGCCGGAGGAGGGGAGGAAGGGGAUGGAGGAGAAGUGGAGGGAGCAGCAGAUCCUGGAGCUCGAGGUGCUUCUGAAGAGAGCGGAGCUUCUCCAUGAGCACUUCUCCGCGAAGCUCGAGGAGAUGAGAUCGACGACGACGACGACGAGUUCAAACUAGUGGCAUUUCGGUUAUUUACACGAACUCAGAGGUGAGUUUUAUAUCUAUCCUCCAAAAGUGGUUUUUUCUUUUUUUAAAAAAAAAUCUUAGUUUUGAAAAUAAAAUAUACAGGAGCCCCCUCAACUAUUUAUUCGUUUAUUUCGACACCUUCUCACCUUUACUUCUUUUUUUGGAAUUCAAAUUAUUCGCGUCUACUGAAUUAGUAGUAUGAUUAAAUUUAAUUGAAGAAUCUGUCAAUUUUCCCAAAAAGAUCAAAUCUAAAAAAUAAAAAAAGAAAUUGUUGAGGGGUCUCCGUGGUUAUUCUGUGUUAUAAUAGGUCUCCUCCUAUUUAUCUUGUGAUAUAAUGUAAAAAAAAAGGGGGUUAAAUUAGAAAUAAUUUUUCGUAGGGGGUGAGGAGGAUUUAUCUGUAAAUAUGUGUAUUAAUGCUGGGUACGGUCACAUGUAUUCAUACAUACAUGUAUGUGUUAUAAGUUGCUUGGUUUAUAGAUUGGAAAUGUAACAGUUUAUUUAAAUAUGUUCCUAUUUUUAUUUUUCUUUUUGUUUUUAGAACAGUUUGGUUGCACGUAUUUACAAUCGCUCUGCAGUGAUAGUUACAUACAGAUUUAAAUAUAAUAUUUAAUUUCAUGCAUUUGUAAAUAUAAUUUCAACAGUCGUAGUGAUCUAUGGAGGAAUGUAGAUAUAUUUUCAGCCAUAGUUAGUUAAUUUGUGAAUUAUUCAUGAAUUAUUUAUAAUUUUUUUAAAAUUCGAAUAAAACAGUACGUAUGCUAUUUAUUUCCAAAAAAUCAGAAUAAAGCACGACUUUUUAAGUUAGAUUUAUUAUUCGCAAAUAAUUCGCAUUUGCCAAACUAUUCGCUCAAAAAAACGCGCAGAAUUUUUGGAUAAAAUCUUUUUCUUCAUUAUUCGCAAAUUAUUGAAAAAUUUAUAAAUUUUCGAAAUAUGUUGAUCAAGAAAAAGAUGAAGAUAGAGACGACAAUAAAUUUUGUUAUUAUUAUUUUUUACCUAAUCUAUUUUAUUUUAUAAUUCUCUAUUUUUAUAUUCUUAAAAAUUUAUAAUUAUUUAUGCUAGUAGCAUAAAUCUAAAAAAAAAAGUUUAAUUUAAUAGCCGAAUUUUUUAUCUCGAAUUUUUAAUUAAUGAACGUAUAAUUUUCGUAUAAAUUGCAUAUCGGAAUAAAUGGCGAACCUUAUUUUUAAGCUGUAUGUCUCAACAAAUUUUAAAAUUAGAAUACAACUUAUGCUCUUAUUAUAUCCGUAUCAAAUUUUUGUCGAAUCCGAAUUAACUAACUAUGUUUUCAACUACACGGCAUCUGCAGUUGCAUCUAAUUACAUUGAAUUGAUGACCCACACUAGGGGACCUAGUUAAACCUCCAUUAAUUAAACCUCCAAUAAUUAAUAUAAGAUCCUAAUCAAAACCUUGAAUUUGACAACACUUGAUUGCGUAUAAAUUAUCUCGCGCACGUUUUCACGAUUUGAAUGUGCAGAAACUUUCUGAAUACUGUAUCAUCAAUAGUGAUUCGUCACAUAGUACGAGAGUUAAAUCAGAUCUAGCAGACACGGUGGAUUUUAUCAUUUAUCAAGUGAUCGAAAUAUACGUCGCAUUCUCCGUGCGCAGAAAAAUUUUCUGUACUGAGCAUAAGACAAUUUGUGCCCUAAUUUGUCUUUCCUAACAUGCUUACUUUUUAUUAAAUAAAUAGAUAGACUAGCCCAGGUCAGUUUGGGCCUAUAGUUAGUCCUACACAUAGAUAUCAAAUUAUUUUUCAGUUUAAAGCAAAAAAAAUAAGGUUUAUAAGAAAGAGAUGCCACAAUGGAGAUUGAUUUAGGCUAAAUUAUAGAAAACUCUUCUGUCAAAUUUUUUACUUUUUUUUUCUGUCAUUUAAAAACCUACACUUUGCCUCCUUGUAAAAUGAAAAAUGUGCACUUAUCGUUAGUGAUCCGUCAAGGUUCUGUUAUAAAAUAAUUUUUUAUGUCAAAAAUACCUCUCCGCACUCUUUCCUGUUGCUUCGCCUCCCUCCGGGUUGCAGCCUCGCCGUCGCCUCCCGCUCCUCCACUGCCUCGCCCUCGCUCACAUCCCCUUCGCCGUCUCGCCUUCGCCGCCUCGCCUUCGCCCUCGUUGCCCUUGCCUACCUCUCCAUCAGCACUCAUCUUGAUUUUCUCCUUACUGUCGCCGAAAUCGAAGGCGGCGAGGGUGCAGGAGGAGAAAGGGAGCAGGUGUAGAAAAAAAUGGAGAGAAAUCACAGCCGAUCGAGGUGUGAAUCGUAGCCGAUCAAGACGGCGGUUGAGAAAAAUGAGGGAGGAGACGAAAAUGGUGAGGGGCAAAAUGAUCAUUUUACACACCGUACCUCUCCUGUGAAUAUUUUUUAUUUUACAAGAGAGCAAAGUGUAGGUUUUAAAAUGACAGGGGAUGAAAGUGAAAAAUCAGAUUUUGACAAGAAAAUUUUAUGUAAUUUAGCCAUUGAUUUAAUCCACCAAAUGAGAAAUGUUGCUUUUUUCAUAACUUACAUAUUUGUAACAAAUGAAAUCCACUUGUUUCUUUUUUCUUUUUUUAGUUGGUAAGACGGUUAACGAGACAGGCCAGGUUUGGGCUUGGGUUUUAUUUCUGCUGAGUUACGCGUGCAUGAUGAAGAUCAAAUGAACUACGUCAUUGUUACUAACGGGAGACAAAUAUUGCGCCGUUAAAUUAUAAAUACGUUGGUAAAUAGAACUGUCUGUAAUACCAUGUUAUGGAAAAGAUCGGCCUGAAUAGGAAACAAGCGGAUAAUGGACUUAAAAGCAACCAAUAAUAUAUUACCAUCUUAUUUCCUCAUAUUAUACGAGUUGUAAAUUGCAUAACCACGCUAGAUGGAAAAGUAGGAAGGGUUCGUUAAAUUCAAGUUCCGAGCUAAUCGGUUUAAUAGUCUGCUGGUGGGUCACUUGAUAGGCCAGAAAUAGCGCGAUGUUCAGAUUGACCAAGGCAGACCCUUUCCUUGGAAUCUACAUGAUUAAACAACCGAAGAAUCAACAGAAGCAACUACUCUCAGUAGUUAGGCACAGUUGUUGUAAUCGUUAGUUUUUUUUUUUUUUCCGCCCCUCUCAAGGCCCGUAAUGUCUUACCUAUAUAGUUUAGUUUAUCUUUUCAAUGAAUUGAAGCGGAUAACGUACUACCUUUUCCUCAAUAAAAAUAAUCAUACUAAAUUAAUUUUUAACCAAAAUUAUUUAUAUAGAACAAAAUUAAUUCAACAGCUAAGUCAAACAUGCCCUAAUGCAUCUUAUUGUGCCCUAGUGCAUCUUUAAUGAGAUUCCUACCAUUUAUAUUUUGUUCCUACGAAGAUAUGGGAAUGUAAUUAAAUAAAUGUACUCUACCUUUGCUAUUAUUUUUGUACAGUACAUUGUUCUUUUCAUAUUAUGCACCAAAACUUAAUUGUUGUACUCAAAUUUAUUUUUAACCCUUAUGUAUAAUUACAGAUUGAGAAAUUGCAAACAAAUGGACAUCAUUUUAUCCAACAUUGGUAUAUAGUUCACAAAUUUAAUUAAUUCGAUUAAUUCCUUCGCAAACAACUAGUUUUGCUGCGAAAUGUGGAUCCGUGUAUUUCUUGAUCUUAAGAGAAUUGGUUUUGGCGCGAAUACGACGUAGUUAAUUACUUUCUUUGGCACGAAUUACGUAUUUCUAUAAAAAUAACUGGUUUUUGCGCGAAUAUAAUACACUUUAGAAAUUUAGAAAUGCAAUUCUCAAUUAAUUUCCUUACAGAUAAUUAGUUUUGCUGCAAACGUGCGCUGAUUUGUGUAUAUAUGUAUAUUUUUUCUCUUAAAAGAACCGGUUUUGGCGCGAAUGGGGCGUAGUUACUGUCUUUGGCGCGAAGAACGUAUUCCCGUUUAAAUAACUGAUUUUAGCGCGAAUAUGUAGUAACUGUUUUUGGCGCGGACACAACGCAAUUUAGAAAAAUAUAUAUUGUUAAUAUUUACAAGUUUUACAUAAAUUAUUGGCAUUUGCAGGGUGUUUGUUUUUGUAUUACAAAAAUGGUAAAAUUCAUCUCAAAUAUAGUGGAUCCUUUGAAACAUGAAUAGGAAAGAGAAAAAUACCAUAGAUAUAUAUAUAUAUCAUUGUACACAAACAAGCAAGAGCCAAAUAGAAAACAAGUUCUCUUUAUUUAUAUUAUUAUUUUUAUAGAAUGUUGAUAGGUAGAGAUAUAUGAAGAUACUAUAAUAAGAACAUGCACCAUAACUGGUGAUGGACUCAACACAUGCAGUAGAAAAGGUAAAGCAUGAGAAAAUUAUAAAAAGAGAAAGACACAACCUCUGGACUAGAAUGAGUGACUUUUUUGUUCUUGUUGCUGAAAAACGCAGAAGCAUAUAUAUGAGUUCACUCAUUCAGAAUGGAUAGAAGGAAUCGAGCCACGGAUCAGCAACGUAGGGGUCCAGGUACGGCGUCUGCAGCUCCGCCCACGGGCCGACCAUUGGAGGCUGCGGCGUAGGUGUAUCGGCCGGCGGCAGCAGACUGCUGUCGUGCCUGUUCAGAACUUCCACAGCAGCAGCAGCAGCAGCAGCAGCAGACUGAGGAUCAUGAUCCACGACACGCACGGCCGCCUCCUCCGCCGCCGCCUGCAGCGGCACUCCCCCCUCCGGCGUCGCGGAGUACAACUGACGAAGUUGGGUUUCCAGCUGGUCGUAGACCGACUUGAACUUGGCAUCGAGCAUCCAAGUGAGCGACGCCACCUCCUCGACCUGCGCCAGGUUGCUGAAGCUGCUGCGCCGCCCGGACAGGCCCUCGGCCACGAGCGCCAGCAGCUCCCCCUGGCGGUUCUCGCGCAGCUGGCGGCGCUGCGCGUCCCGCAUCUUCCCCACCCGCUGCCGCAGGAAGCUCUCCUGGCUGACCAUCUUCCGCCGCCGCUCGCCCUCCGGCAAGCCCCUGAACUGCGUCACCACGCGCGCCACCCCCCGGGGCUCCGACGGCAAGAUGUCCGCCGGGAAGCGGUCGCUCGGGGUGCCGUACACGAUCAAGCACGCAUCGACACCGCACAGCACGCUCAGCUCGUGCACCUUCUUCAGCAGCCCCUUGCGCCGCUUCUUCAUCGUCGUCCGCCGCGUCGCAUCGUUCGCUAUCCACAUGAGCUUCACCUUCUUCCUCGCCAUCCCGACAAGUCAACGACAACGACAACGACAACGACAACAACGUCAAUCCCCGCAAAAAAGAGAAAACACAAAAAAACUACUCUUAUUUUGGUCUUUUUCCUUUUCGGACUCUACAUGUAUUUAUAGUCCUUAGAUUCUAAUUUUCAAACACUAAACAACUUUCUUAUAUUUUCUCGCGAAAUAUCGUGAUUGGCUCCUUUUUGGAUUUGAGUGUGACUCAGUACACAGCGUAGUACAUUAAUUACGGUACAAAAUCUCAGGGGCGCCCUCGCUGGACAUGUACACUAGUUCAUUAACUGAUACGCUAAAUUAGUAAUACACUCUAUUUUGCGUACGUGGCGCGAUACCAUUGGCCACACACAUAUUUUUAGCAAACACAAAUUAAUUAAAACAAAUUUUUUAAAAAAAUGAAGUGCUAAUGCACGAAUUUAAGCGAAUCUUUGCUAAGAUUUGGAGAAAAAUUGCAUUUAAAUUAAUUCACUAGAAAAAAUUCUCCCUGUAUGACCAUUUUAUCUACUGUUCAUUACGUACAUAGCACGAAUCUUAAAACUGCAUGAAUGGCUGAGACAUGAGGUGGUGCACGUCUCAUGUUGGGAAUUGUCCCCACUAUUAUGUUUUUUUAUUUUUUCAUAUAUAUUAUUAUCCGGUUGUCGGAAUUUUUGCAUGUUCAGUGAAUCUAAUUACAAAUUAAUUUUGAGGAAAUUAAUUUUUGUUGUUGGAAGGGUGUCUAUGGGUUGUUCACAACCUGACAAACAAUAAAUGCAAAUUAUAUAUUCAUCUACCUGUGCCCAUAUAUAUAUAUCAUAUAUAUAUAUAAAUAUAAAUAUACACCUUUUGUAACAUUUAAAUUUUUAAUUUAAAUUUGAUUUCUCAUUUAUCUCAAAUUUUAAACAUAAGAUCUACUUUUUAAUUAGCUUGUUAAUUUCCUCAUACAAAUUAAAUCUAAUAAUAUCAUAUUAUAUAUACAUAUAUGGUAAGCAUAUACAGCGAGACACAUACAUCAACAAUUAAUGUGUGCAUUUCAAAUAGUACAUGUACAUAUCUAAAAAUUACUUAAUUUCAUGAUUUUAACACAAUGAGAUAUGUUCAGGAUCUCGAAUUAAAAAAUUUUCAUUUCUCAUUUCUAGUAAUGGAGAAGAAUCAGAGAAUUUUAGUGUUGUGUUGCCGCAUAAUAUUUUGGUAGACGCUAGUGAAUAUAAAAUAUUAAAAGCAUCAUUCCCUGACGCCAACUUAAUUAAUUAAGCUUUUAAAGUAUAAUCAGUUAUUUCAUAAUUAUUUCACACGCUAUCGAUCAAAUUCGCACGCUCAUCACAUAUCACUGGAAAGAUAAUUUGCUAUUUUCAAAUUUCGAAUGUCAAAUAUAUAUAUAUAUAUAUAUAUAUAAAUAUAUAAUAUAUUGCAUUGGAAUCGAUUUGCGAAGAAAUUUUGAUCAAAUGCAUGUGAAAAAUAUGAAUGUUCUAUCAAAGCCUCCAUAUUAAAUAAUUAAUUUAUUUCAUUUUAUGGACCAAAAAAAUUGCUUAUAGUGACAGGGCAAUGUAAUAUAAUUGCUGGCAAUAAGAGAUUAUAUAUAAUCAUAUGAAUAUAUAUAUAAUAUAUAAUAUAUAUAGUAUUCUUUUUUCUACAUUAAAGGAGGUUGGGGGCUCCAUAGGUGACACUGUAACCCCCAAACGCCUCUUUACUCCCCCCUCUCCUCUCUCUCUCUCUCUCUCUCUCUCUCUCUAUAUAUAUAUAUUUUAUAAUUUUAUAUCAAAAUUAAAAUUUUCAUACUUUCAAAUUUUAAAGUUUUAAAUUUAAAUUUAUAUUUUAAAUUCAAAUUUCAAUUUUAACUAUAUAUUUAUUUCCAAUUUUGUAACUUCAAAAUUAAAAUUUAAAUCCUAAACUAUGAUUUAAUUAAUUUAAUUUUAUAAUAAAUACGCGUAAUAAAUUGGCACAUAAAACUAACAGAUAGAUUUAUAUUUAAAUACGUAAAAUGGUUUAGUAAAAAAAUACAUAAUUUUAAUUUCAAGUGAAAUUAAAAAUAUAGUGUAUAUGUGUAUAUAUAUAUAUAUAUAAUUAAUUUUAUAUAAGCAAUUUUUUCUACAAAUUUAUUUCCCUUCUAUCUAUUGAUUUUUAAAAAUUAUUUUAAUAGAUUUAUCUCUUUAUAAAAUAAAUGAUAAUAAUUACUUGCACAUAUACCAAAUUUAAUGACUUUAUUAAAUAGAUUAACUAUUACAUCAUUUUUUAUAUAAUUUAUUUAAUUAAUAAGUUAACUUAUAAAAUUAUAUAAAAAUAUUAAAAAAAUAAAAUUAUUGUCAAAAUAUUUUUAGAUCCGCAGCAUCGCCGAACAUUAAAGGAGGUUGUGGGAGGCCCAAGAGAGUGCACGAUCACCCUCCCAAACCCUCCUUCACUCUUCUUUCCAAUAUAAUAAUAAUAUAUAUAUAAUAUAUAUAAUAUAUAUAUAUAUAUAUAAUUUUAUAAUUUGAUAUCAAAAUUUAAAAUUUGAUAUUUAAUUUUAAAAUUUUAAAUUUUAUAUUUUAUAUUUUAAAUUCUAAUUUAAAUUUAACUUAUAAUAUUUAUUUCUAAUUUGUAACUUCAAAAUUUAAAUUUUAAUCUAAACUCUAUAAAAUUAUAAAAUAAUUAUUAAUAAUACGGGUAAUAAAUCGGAUAAUAAAAUUUAACAUAUAAUUAAUUUAAAUAUAGUAAAAUAUCGUUGUAUAAAAAAAUACAUAAUUAAAAUUUCUUCAAAACUAAAAUUUUAAAUAUCUGUAAACUCUAUGAAAUAAUUAUUUUAUUAAUAAUAUGGCAUAAUAAAUCGUAUAAUAAAAUUAAACAUGAUAGAUUUAAUUUAAAUCACUAAAAUAUCGUUGUAUAAAAAAGACAUAAAUUUAAAUUUUAGUGAAAAUUUUAAAAAUAUAGUGUGUAUAUAUAAUAAUAUAUAUAAUAUAAUUUAUUAAGAUUUAUUCUAGCAAAUUACUUCCCUCUCUAUCUAUGAUUUUUUAAAUUAUUUAUAAGAUUUACUUCAAUCUUCUCUUAAAUCUUUAUAAAAUAAAGUGGUGUAUAAAUUUAUUUGAGGAUAUAUCAUUUUAAGAUUUAACAUAUAUAAUUAUUUUUAUAUAAUUUUUAUUUAAUGAUAUAAUAAGACUUAUAAAACUAUAUAAAAAUAUUAAAUAAAAUGUUAUUAUAAAAAUUUUAGAUCCGCAGGCAGUCAGCGCGGGUAUUUCACUAGUAUAUAUAUAUAGUACACUUUCUCGUACGAUAUAAAAAUUAACUAAUCAUGAAUCGUACACAUAUGGAAUUUGUACCAUUGAAAUUCAACCUAUAAUUAAAUUUAGCGUGUUACGACCUGAUUUUUUCUGAGGCAAAAUGCGAAUCCUUCACUAGUGAAUAUUAAAUAUAUUGUUUAUAAGUUAUAAUUUUUUCUUUUUUCUCCACAAAAGAAAAAAUCAGGUCAUAAGUUAUUUAUUCAUAUGUAUAUAAAAUAUAUUAUUAUUUCAUAAGUUAUAUUAAAUAUAUUGUUCAUAUGUAUAUAAAAUUUUAUAUAUUUAUUUCUGUAGUUUUCGAGGCUACUCGUUAAUUGUAUGUGAAAUUUAGCAACCUAUAUCUUUAACGUAUUGCUGUGUUAUUUGUCCGUAGCGAAGCGCGAGUUCUUUAUCAGUGAUUCAGGAUAAUCACGACCAAAAACACAUAUUUUUCUCUCAUAAGAAACAAAAAGUAAAUACAAAUUAAUUAAACAUAUAUAGUGUUGCGAGUUCUUUUAAAAUAUUUUAUUUUAUUUUAUUUUUUAUGAUGAUAUUUUUUUUUUUUUCGAAUGUUGAUCACCACCACGUACGCACGUGAAAUGACAUGCAAGCACGUGGAGUGCACGUGUGGGUAGCACGUGGAGUGCACGUGUGGGGAGCACGUGGAGUGCACGUGUGGCUUCCCCCCUCUCUUCUCGCAUCGUUGGAUUCGGUGGGGUUUAUUUUAUUUUAUUUUAUUUCUCUCUCUCUCUUAAAUAGUGUUUGGUUGAGGGAUAAGCUUAUCUGAAUUGCAAAUAUUUUUAAUUUAUUGUCUAAUUUUUUAAAUUUUAAAUUUAUUAUCUAAUUUUAUUUUACAAUUUAGAUGUGUAAUUUAUCAUUACCGAUUAAUUAGCAGAUUUUAUAUACUUUGCAUGACUAUAUAUAAAACUAUUAAAAUAAUUGAUGAGUUUGAAUUUUAUAUUGAAAAAAUUAUCAAAUAUCUUAAGUCAAACAAACCGAAAAGUUGAAUACCAAAAUCAAAAUUUUAAAAAUUUUGGUAGCGGAAUCCGAAAAUAAAUAUUAUCUUCAAUCUUUUUCAUUUUUGGGUUUGAAGAUUCUUAAGUUUUUAAUUUGUUUUAUCUUCAUAAAAUUCCUACUAAUCAUCUUUUUUAUGGAAUUUAAAUAUAAACUAUCACUUCUAAGUUUUAUAAUUAAUCUCUUUUUUCCCCUAUUUAUCUUUGCAAAUAUUCUAUAUGGCCAAUUUGCAUAAAAAAAUGUUAAGAGACUCCCUAAACUAUGAAAGUUUUGAAAUGGGACCCUCAACAUUUUUGUCAUAAAAUCGAAAUUUUAAUUCUCCAAUUCUUUGAUGAUUUUAUUUAAUUUAAUAUAUAGUUUUAGCUACUUUUUACCAAACUAAACCAGACCAAUUAACAAAUAGCAGCUAAUAGAGUCAUUAAAUUUAAUAAAAUUUAAAACUCAAUUUGCUAAAAUGACUCAAAUAACAAAAAUUGGAUGCAAAAGAGGAGUAUUCAAUUGCAAAAAAAAAUUUUAAAAAAAGUUGGAUCUCCAUAGAUUUUCCACAAAUUUGUUUGAAAAAUAAAAGGUUAAGAUUUUGUUUUUUAGAUCUUUUUUGAAAUUGUUCUAAAAGUAAAGGAAUUAUAUAGAAUAGGUAAAAACAUCUGGAACUUAUUUGAACUAUAGAACAUUCUAAUUUGACUAUGAAAUAUUUUAAAAUUUUAAUUUUACCAUCCAAAUUUUUAAUUAUUUUUCAUUUACCUCAAUUUACAUUGAAUGCAUUGUUUAUCUUUACAUAUUUAGCUAAUAUACUCUAUGCAAUUCUCGCAACUAUAAAUUAACUUAAAUUAUAAAGUCAAAAUAUCCUUAACUAAUUCAAAUCAAAUAAAUUAAAAAAUUAAUGGUAAAAUUAAAUUUUAAAAGUUUAGGGUAACUGAUUCAAAAUGAUCUAUAGUUGAGGUGAAUUUUAUAUGUUUUUACCUCCAUAUAUAUAUAGAGAGAGAGAGAGAGAGUUGAGCUAGAAUACUAUCGAUAGUAAACGAGCCGUUUUACUAUCGAUUUGUUUUUGAUGAUAGAGCUUCCAAAUUGACGACCGGUUCCGUUAAAUAUAAUCUAAACCAUUUAAACUACUUAGCACUUUCGAUAUUGUUCUUUUAUCCAUCAAGUGAACAGAAAAAUAAAUAGUUGAAAAUGAAUAUCCUUUAAAAAAUAAUGAUAAGAGUCUUGUAAUCAAGAUCAAGAGUAUAGAUCUUGUUUUAAAUAGUUUAAAGAAUUUUUUAACAAAAAUUCAAUUGAUUUGAAUAUCUUUACGCCGUUAAACGAGAAAACGCCUCUUAUCGACCAUUAAAAUUACAAAUUUUGAAAUUCUUUGAUCAUUAGGCAAAUGAUGUCCAAAAGAUUUGAAAUUUGAUUUCUAAACACUUCGAGUGGUAUAGAUCCUGUUCAACGGAGCCGAUCGUCAAUUUGGAAGCUCUAUUAUCGAAAACAAAUAGGUGGUAAAACGGCUCGUUUACUACCGAUAGUAUUCUANAGAGAGAGAGAGAGAGAGAGAGAGAGAGAGAGAGAGAGAGAGAGAGUAAGAAAAAAAAAUUAAUUUUCCCAAUAAAGUUUGGUUGAGUUUGUCCUUUUCUACCUGGCUGUUGUGUUUAAUGUGGCUUGUCUCCUCUUUAAGUACAAUGGAGGUCUUGGUGUCUCCUUGGUGGGGUUUUGCAUUUGUGUUUGAGUCCAUCUUGUGAUAAUCCUAAAAAUUGUCAUUAUUUAUUUUUAUUUUUUCUUUUCUGAUCUGUAUUAGGUCAUUCUAGUCAUUUAUUUUUGAGACAAGCCUCAAGUUUGUUACAACUAGCACACAAAUAAAAAUAAAAAACGGCGAACGUGAAGUAGACAAAUCAUAAAUAAAAAAAAUAAAAUAAACAUAAAGAUUCACAUGAAAAAUUUUUUGUAGAAAAAAAAAUCACGAAGUAAGGAGGAGAAAGCUUACAAAUGUUGCAUCGUGUCUAGGGCAAAAGAGAAGAAGAAAGUCUCUUAACGGAUUCUUCAUUAUUGGAUCAGAUUCGUACGACGGGAAGCUCCGGCCGAUAGGCCCGAGCCCUUCGCUAUCCACCACUGAUAUCCAUUUUUCCUUUACAAUUUAUUUUUUUUCAAAAAUCUGUCGCACUGUAAAACUGUGACGAAUCGGGGACCGGCCCAAAAAACAAAGUCGAUCAAUAACCAAUUUCGAAGCAUUCAAGUCCAAAACAGGAUCUCAAACUUUCGACCUUAGUUUAUUUUAUUUUCAUAGAUAGGUAGCAUACUAUUCGUUUCGUUUAUUUUUUUAGAAAUUAAUAAACUUAGCUGGAAAUAUGAAUUGACUAAGAUUUGAAUUUGGAACAUCGGAUACCAACUACCAAAUUAUUUGCCACUUGCUCAGGGACGGUCGGUAACUUCCAACCUUAUUGUUGAUAUUUUCUAAGUGUUUAGUAGGGUUUAGAUAUAAAAACAGCAUUUUAAUGUUCCAAAAUAAUUAAUAAUUACCAACAUGCCUAUCUCUUUUACAAUUAAACAUCAAAUUUGUUCUUCUGAAAUUUAAAUUAUUAUACCUUUUUUGUCAUUUUUUUUCUCUCAUGUUGUUCGAUAUGAACAUUAAUUAAUUCCUACAUUAUUCGCGAAUUUUUUUUUAGUUAUUUAUUUAUGCACAGAACGGUAGAGAAUUUGCUUGGAAUGAACAUCAAAUGAAAGAUUAAACCAUCAUAUCUUAAUAAAUUAUAGGCUAAACUUCAAAUACCAUGCUUUAGUUUAAAGUAUAUCGCUUUAGUAUUUUGUGGUUUUAUUUUUUUUUCUUUUUGUCAGUCCAUCCGUUAACUCUUCGUUAAAUCAUAUACAAAAAAACUUCAGAUACACCACCUAUAGUUUAUUGACUAUUUAUUUUAGUAUUAUGUGGUUUACGAAUUUUUAUUUAGUACCUUAUAAUUUUGAAUUUGGCACUGAUUUAACGAAAAAAAUUAACAAAGUGGAUAACUGAGAGAGAAAAAUAAAAUUAACAGGAUAUAAAAGUUAUAUAUUUUAAAUCAUAGGUUAUUAAAAUAAAAAAGCACGAAAUUAUAGAAAUGAUAUUUAAUUUUUUUUCUAAAUUAUAUAUAAAGAGUCAAAAAAAAUUAUUCUAGUACUCAUUUUACACUUUAGUUGCUAGGUAAGUGUGGAGAGCACUCAUGAUUUAUAUAUUUUAUAUUUUAUACUAUAUAUUAGCUUUAUAUUAUAUAUUAUCUAAAGCUACACAAUCAAACAAAACCAAACUCCAACAAUGUUGGACUCUUGAGAAAAAGAAAGCAACUUUAAAUUAAAGCCUAACCUUAAUAAGCAGGUCAAAUCAAUUUCUUUAUUCAACAGCAUUAUUUAAAUACCAAAAACACAUCAUCCUUUACUGUGCUUCUAAUUUUUUUUUAAAACAAAGUUGUCGUAUAUCGCGUAGUUUUUUUUUUUUUUUUUUUGAGAGAUAGGUAACACGCUACCCGCUUCGUUUAUUUCAUUUAAAAAUAAACUUAGCUGGAAAUGUGAAUCAACUAGGAUUCGAACUUGGGUCUCGAAUAUCAACCACCAAGUCCUUUGCCACUUGCUCUUCGGUCAACUGUACGUUAACCAGCUAUAAUAGCAAAAAAUAAAAUAAAAUUCUAAAACACAUCAACUUAUAUAAUAUUAGUAUUUAAAAAGUAAAAAAAAAAAUAGUUAUUUAGCGUACAAUGCAUCAGCUGUACUUUUGCAUUACGCUCCUAAAAUUCAAUCAUAGAGAAUUCAAAAUUAAAUUUUAAAAUAGAGGCUUGGCCUCUUGUGCUAUGAGGGGUUUGGCAUGGACUUUAAUAAAAGGAUUUAAUGCUACUUCAGUGUCUAUGGACAUAACUUUAAAAAAGAAAAAACGAAAAAAAAAUUCAAAUUUUAAUUUAUUAGUUGAAUUUCAUGACAGUUUAAAAAAAUCCUAUGUUUUUUCUAACUCUUAUUUCUUGUGAAUAUAGACAUCAAACAUAUAUCUAAUUAAAUUUUAACUUAAAAACAUUAAUAAUUUGAAUAUAGAGCGUAUAUAAUGGGUAGUGUCACGCACUAAUAUACCGUAUUUUUCUUUUUAAAAUACAGUAUUUUUCAAAUUAUACGUGUAUACAAAAUUAAAAAGUGUUUUUUAACUAAAUUGACGUGAGACCCACAACACUCAAUCUUAUUGACAUGAUUUUUAUACCAGUUUCUUAAACUGUAGAUAUGCAAUCAUUUUAGGAAAAAUUUAAAAUACCACUCCUGCGGUUUCACACUUUCUUAUUUUAGAAUUCUAUGAUUUAAAGUGUAUCAAUUUAGUGUCCUAUGGAUUUAUUUUUAUCUUUUCAUUAUCGAUUCUAUUAUUUUUUUCGUUAAAUUGGGGACAAAGUUAAAACUAAAAGGUACUAAAGUUAAUAUUUGAUAAACCUGGGUGGGGUAUCUGAAGUGUUUUCUAUAUAAUUUAACAAAAUAUUAACGAAAAAAUUGACGAAAGGAUAAAAAUAAAAUCACAGGACACUAACCUGAUACACUUUAAAUUAUAUGGUACUAAAGUGAGAAAAUAUGAAACCGCAGAGAUGGUAUUUGAAGUUUACUUUUAAUUUUAUGUGCAAAUAAUCGUACAUGAAUAUUGCAAAUCUUUAUUUGUCUUUUUCUUCUAUUUUCUGGGGGUAAAAAUUGUAUAGUACUAACACCAUAAAUGAUUUUGACUGGACAAUAAAAAUUUUAAAUUUUAAAUUUUCGUCUAUAAUAUUUAAGUCACCUAAUGGCUUUUCUGAUGCAAAAUUUAAGUUGAGCACUUACUUAAUUUAUAGCUGUAUAAGUUGCGUAAAUAUACUAAUUAAAUUUAUAAAUACAAACAAUACGUUUAAAUUUUAGAGUUAAAGAAUCAUUAGCUAGCUCAAAUCAAAUAAGUUCAAAAAUUAGACAGCAAAAUUAAAAUCUUUCAAAAUUAAAUAGUCAGAUCAAAAUAAGUAAUAAAUUUUUUAAUAUAAAAAUAAUACAACAUCUUAAUUAAUGGCACAGAUUCAAUCACAAUACUACUACCAUCUUACCUCAUCAUUGGUGCUAGAUCAAAUAUUAAACCAAUUAAAUUCGGUUAUAAAAUAUAAUUAUUAUUAUUCUAAAAACUUUUGAAUAAAAAAUUACCAUAAAUUAAAAUUUGAGAACUAAAAUAUCACGCGUCUUAUAAUUCCAGCGCAAGACAUAGAGCAAUUUAUCUUUCUUUCUUUUUUUUUCUUUUUUCUUUUGUACUUUUCUAAAUUUUUGUUUUUCCCCACCCCCUCUCUCUCUCUCUCUCUCUCUCUCUCUCUCUCUCUAUCUAUCUACCUAUCUAUCUACCUAUCUAUCUAUCCAUCUAUUGAGUGCUGUUGAGAAAGAGACAGGAGAGGGUGUUAUGCAUUCACUGUGAGAAUCUUGCAAGGAAGUCAUUGUAGAAUAAGCAGUCCGGACCUUAUCUUUUAAUCCCAGGAUAUUGCAGUCAGGACAGGAGGAUCAGCAAAUCCUAGCCUUGCUGGUAAUCCCUCCACCAAUCAUUCCUGCUAAUAUCCCCAAGACAUUAUUAUUAAUAUUCUUAUUAUUAUUCUGGGUGGUCAUAAAAGGGUGGGAGUAGUGAUAUUUUCCUCUUUUCAUUUCCUUCUCCUUUUUUUUUUCUUUUUUUUUUUUUUCUUUCUUUCUUUUUGUGAUUGAAGUUUAGAGGAGUAUAGUUUGAUUAUCUCUUUGUUUGUUUUGGGUGAAUUUGGUUUGGGGGAUAAAAAUGGGAUUUUGUGAGAGAGGGUUUUAACUUUAACUUUUAAGUGCUGCAGGGAAAAAAAAAGAAAGAAGAAGAAGCUUCUAGAGUUUCAGAAUCUCCUGGUGGCUCUCUUUUAGGCUGAUUUAGUGGUGGGUUUGGGAGAAAGAUGAGAUCUUGUGAGCAUCUGCUCUGAUCAAUCUGCACUGCUCUGCAGUAAAAGUUGGAUCUUGGAAGGAAAAGAGUUGUCAAAUUAUUUAUUGAGGGAAGCAUUUGAUUGCCAAACUCAGGAAGGGAGAUUUUGCAUUGCAAUCUUCUGGUGGUGGUUUUGUAUCAUCAAGCUAGGGUUUUUUUUUUUUUUUUUUUUUUUUUUUUUUUUUUUUUUUUUAUGAAUUGGGGGUAGAAACCACCAUGCCCCUCUCUGAAUUCCUGCUCAAGACCACGAAAUCGAAGCCCGGAACCGCGCAAUCCAAGAUGCCCAUCCCCAAUUCCUCCUCAUCUGAUCCCUUUUCUAUGUAAGUUUUGGCCUCUGAUCUCCCUGCAUUCACUUGUUCUUUGUGUCACCCUAUUUCCCUGUUGAUUGAUUAAUUAAUCUGUUGUGUUGAAUGAAUAUCUCUGAUCUGUGGGAUUGUAAUUGUAAUUGUAAUUGUAAUUGUAAUUGUAAUGAAGAUCUGAUCACGAAUUCGCGGAGCUUCUGUGGGAGAAUGGCCAGAUUGUGUUGCAUGGUCAUGCCAGUAGAUCCAGCAAGAAGAGCUGGGCGGCGGCAUCCGCCGCCGACCACCCGGAGAAAGCUCCGGCGAAGGACAAUGUGGAUUCCGUCGACGCGAAGAACGAGCAAUUGGGCGCCGACCUUUCGGUUCAUCAAGAGGAUGACAUGGUCCCGUGGAUCAAUUUCCGGAUCGACGAUGAGUCUCUCGAUGCCGAUCCCGUGCACAACGAUUUCUACUCGGAGUUCCUGGAAGACAUCGGCGUCCUAGGGCAGGAAGCUAAGAGCCCGCCGAACGCACCGCAGGAGAUUCCUUCGAAAGGAGCUCCGGCGGCUUCCGAGCGUGGCAGGGGUAAUAAGCCCAACCAGUUGAUUCAGCUCUCUCAAAAUUGUCAAAGCGCGGUUACGAACAAUAACUCGAGAGUUUCGGAACUCGGUAAUGGCGGUGGUAAAGCCCAGAUGGGCUAUUGCAUGGAAUUAGUGAAAAACACAAGGUUGGCGCCGAGACCGAACACGGGCGUGAACUUUGUCAACUUCCCCCUCUUCUCGAGGCCCCACGCUGUUAAGAUCAACGAUCGAGCGAGAGUAGAGGAGAAGGCAGCUGCUGCUCCAGUGAAUAGAAAUCUCGUCGAGUCUAGUAGUGGAGUUAAGAGUGUCGCCGGAAUUAAAGCCCUGCCGCGUAAGUUGGAGCUGGAAAAACCCGAUGCGCCCGGACGUCAACAUGUUAAAGUCCCUAGCGAGCGAAUUGAGGCUAAUCGCGAAAGAGGUGAAGAUCAUGAGACCGAAAAGGACGAUAAGAAUGCUGCUGCUAUUAAAGAUUGUAGCUUCGCAAAGCCAGAGACGGAGAAGGAUCCAGUAGCAGUGGUUGCUUCCUCUUCCGUGUGUUCCGUUAAUUCCGCAGGAAUUGAAUCGUAUGAACCCAAAAAUAAUAGAGAGAAGAGGAAAGUUAGCGAACGCGAAGAAUCCAGCGGCGAGCAGAGCGAUGUAAGUGUUUGACAAAAAGAGUGCGAACGAUCGGCUAGUUCCCUCAAUGUUUGUCAGUAAAGGAGCUCUUUUAACUAAUCCAUCCUUUUUUGUAUGCGGUAAGGAUCUUGAAGAUGAAUCGGUGGGAACAAAGAAGCCCGCGAAUGGGCGAGGCACGGGUGCAAAAAGAAGUCGAGCCGCAGAAGUACAUAAUUUGUCUGAAAGAGUGAGUCACUAGUUAACUAAUAAUGUACUCAAUUCUUUUAUGUGUUUCUUUGUUUUCUAAUUUAGAUGUAAUGUAUUUCUAUGCGGUUUGUAAUAACAGCGAAGGAGGGACCGGAUAAAUGAGAAAAUGCGGGCGCUACAAGAACUGAUACCUAACUGUAAUAAGGUAUCAUUUUUUUUUUUUUAAUUGCCCGCUCUCUGCCGUUCUAGUUUAUCAGAUGAUUCAGGAACCACCUAAUUUUGAUUUUUCUUUUCUUUUUUUUUUUUUGUUCAUACUUGCUUAAAGACGGAUAAAGCUUCAAUGCUCGAAGAGGCCAUCGAGUAUCUUAAGACACUUCAACUACAACUUCAGGUAAAGCUUAAUUUUUUCGCUAUGUUCUAGUGGGCUCUUUUGCGUGGUUAGAGCUUUUCUAGUGAAGUACGGUUUGAGUAGCGCUUUUCAAAGAAGCUCUGGUAUCUUUUUCAUCAAAAUAUCCUUUAAAGGUACUCAUAUUGUUGGAGCUAAAACCGAAAUUUCAAAUUUGAGCUUCUACUUCUGGCAUCCAAAAGCUCAUAUUAGUUUUCUGCAAAAGCAAAAGCUUUGGAUUACUUCGUAGUCAAAUACUUGGUUUGUAGAAGCUCAUGCUUUUUUGGAGUAAAGAAAUUGUUUAAGAAGCCAGGCAAUAGGCAUGAAAGACCAAUUUGGCCCUGCGAUAGGGUGCAGUCACUCUGUUUGACUAGUGGUACUACAAGAAGCCCUAUAAUAAGACCUCUCAAUUGCUUCCUUCAACAGCAGCGGUAGAAGGUCCAAAUUGAAUAUUCUACUUUUGGCCUCAUAAUCUUAUUUCAACUUUCCAUACUAGCUAAAAGUUCGAGGCUUUUCUAAAGUUCGAGGCUUUUCUCGGCACAAGACGCACACUAAAUGCGAUUCACUGUCUCAAAUUCCGUAACUUCUCUUAUGUUCUCUCUGGCAGAUGAUGUCCAUGAGGAAUGGGAUGUACAUGCCAACUCCUAUGAUGUUGCCGCCAGGGAUGCAACACAUAAACGGACCGGCGAUGGCCCAUUUCUCCCCGAUGGGUGUAGGGAUGGGCAUGGGCAUGGGCAUGGGCAUGGGGAUGGGGUACGGCAUGCACGUGAAUGGAUCACCAGGUUGUUCUUUAAUUCCGGUGCAGCCCAUGCAUGGGCAGCAGUUCCCGUGUCCUGCAAUCGCAGGCCAGGCUGCCUUGCACCGGAUGAUGCUCGGACCAGCUAAUCCUCCAGUCUUUGGGGCAAUUGCGCCACACCAACUUAGUUCGCCACCAUGUCAUGUUGUCAAGGGAAAUACAGCGCCUGAUGUUACCAUGCCAGCGGCUGCUCCAGCCCCGCCAACCUCAGAUCCGGCGGCGGCUCCAGUUUCUAGAGAUCAGAAGGAAGAAGGCAAAAACUUAUAAAUAUUGUAGAGAUCAAGAAUCAAUCGUGCGGGGAAGAUGGGUAAGUCUUGUGAGAUUUAUAUAUUGAUUCUCGAUCCAUAUCAUUAUCUUCACUUUGUUUGAUACCAAAUCAAGAUUGAUUUGUAGUUUAAGGAACUCAAAUGGGUCGAAUAUGGGGAGCUAGAUUUUCUUUUGCUCGGAAGGAGAUAUGAUUCAUCGAAUUAUAUUAUUUACUUCUCCUAUCUUACCUGUCUAGUAGUAUUUAGAUUUCAUGAGUAGAGGUUUAUUUUGGAUAGAGAAGUUUUCUUAUGUUUGAGAAUAGUAUAUUACCACAAUUCAGGCCUUAUAUCUACCAAUUUGCUUACAGUUAUCAAAGGCCGCCAAUUUGUUAAAUUCAGUUCAAAUCAUGGAUUAAUGAGAUUCGAAACAACGAAAUUAAGAAACUACAUUGCAAUUCCAUCCAAAUCGGCAAAUUCGGGUGUUGAAGUUUUCACCAUUCAGUAGUGUAAUUACUUAGAAUUGAUGUUAAUUACCUGCUACACUUAUUGUUGGUGUUAUCUGUUCUUGUUGUAGGUAGCAAUAAGGAAGGAUUAACAGCUAAAGAGUAUCUGAUGUACAUUACUAAUCGAAUAGCGACAACUCAAUCUGUGGGGAUCCCUCAACCUUGCAAGUGUAAAUGGGACAAGACAUCGCAACAGGUGAGUUCGAAACUUUUUCAGUGAGCUGUAAAUCACUUAAUUAAAUUUAUAUUCUUCACAUAAUUCGAGUCUUUUACGUUCUAUCCGCAAUCUUGCAGGCUACUGUUGAUGGGUUCCAUGCAAUGGGGGUUGCUCAAAAUGUUCCAUAAAUAACAACUUAUGUAUGUGAUCUAACAUGUGAAGGAUUCUCUCUCUAUAAGAGUACACCUCAAGUGCCAAUUUUGCUUUUUCCCAAGUGGAAUUGUGGGACAAUGUGUAGUAUAUUAGCAUGUUAAGAGUAGCUUAAGAGUUAAAAAAAACUUUGUUUUGCAUCUAUAAGUCGCGGAUCCGUGCUGUUAUUAUAUAAGGAGCAUGACCUUCAACUGUGUGUACUAAAAAUGGUUUGAUAUGAAUAAAAAUUUUCUUAAAUGGAUUUCACAAGAAUUUCAAUUAACUCUCACAUUGGUUCUUAUUUCUGUUAUUAUAAGAGUUUUAGUAGUACCUUCAAUGGUGAAAUGUUUCCCAGAUAUAAUGGAAUCAUUGAGGUAAGCAUAUGCACUUCCAAUGGGACUCUGUUAUUAUCUGUGGGUGUUAUUGAUUUAUUUAUUUAGUUUCUCUUUUUAAGCUUUAAGGAUGAGUUGAACAUACGAAAUUCAAUCAAUGAGUUACACUAUUGCUGUGAGUAUUGCAAUUCUUGUCAUAAACAGUUUCCUAAAGAUUCUUAUGGUAGAAAACGGUUCAGAAAUAGUUUUAAUGUUUCUGUUUACAUGUAUUAUGAAAACAACAUGAAUCAUACUACAUGAACAGAUUAAUUGCAACUCACAAUCUCUUAGAAGUUGGAAGUGAAGAGAGAGAGGUACAAAAUUAGUUGAACUGAGAUAAUGCAAGUUAAUGAUUGUAUCACAUGAAUAAAGCCAAUACCACAGACAUGAUCUUUGACUCUUUUAAUACAAACUCAUUUGCUUCAUCAUUUUAACUAACAAAACAAUCACCACAUAAAGUUGAUUAUUAUCCAUAUAAUAUAAUACACAGCUAAUCAUAAUAUAAACAUAACAAAUAUGUCUUAAAUAAACUAUAGACACUGAAAUAAAAGAAAUCCCAACUUAAGCACACUGCACACCAUACAAAUGUAUUUAACAGAAAAAAAAAAGAACCAAAAAAAAGAAGAAGAAAGAAUCAAAACCAAUAAAUGACACACCAUCCCAUGUUUGCUGCAUCUAAAAUAUUCCAUGCAAUGCCAUCUUUGCAGCAGUUUUAAUCCUUCACAAGUAAUACCCAACAUAAAUAUUUAUUAUUUUCGAAUUUAUUUUGAUGAGGUAUCAUCCUUGUCUCCUGCUGACAUGGCCUUUGAACUUGGCGAUUUUCCGAUUAUCGCCUUCUUCACCUUGACGAUCGAAUGCUUCACUUUGGAUAUGAUGUUGUUUGAAUGGCGUGGCGUAGUCUUAACUGUGACGUUCUGUUUAGGCGCCUCUUCUUCUUUCUUUGCCGCAUCGUCAGCUUUAAAAGUUUCAGCUAGGUUUCUCUCGGCAGGUUUCUCGCUCUUCUCAUUUUCCGUGCCUUCAUUUUCUUUCUCAGCAGUGUUUUCAACCAUCUCCCCGUCCUUCGUUGCGGAAUCACCGUCCUUGGAGGGCUCAACCAAGUUGGCCACGACCGUCUCUCCCUUGUCUCCUUCGACUUCUUUGUUUUUCUCAGCCUCCCCAGAACUGUCAGCAGUUUCUUUGACAGUCUCUUCGGCAGCCUCUCCAUCCUUCUUCGCUAAUUCACCAUCUUUGGAGGAUUCAACUAUGUUUGUCUCGACAUUUUGCUCGGCGACUUGCUUUUCCUCCUUAACUUCUUUAUCUUUCUCAGCCUCCUCAGAGCUGCCAAUUGGUUCUUUUGCAGUCUCCACAGAAUCAGCAUUUUCAUCCUUCUUUGCGUCGACCAACUCAGAAGCUUUCUCCUCAACAAAUUCAGCACUCUCGGGUAAUUUCUCUUCCUUAGUUUCAACUUCAGCGACCGCAGAAUUGUCCGACUCCUUAGAGGUUACGUCCAAGUUUGGCGUUUCAUCCUUCAAACUCUCAUCCUUUUUCUCAACGAUUUCAGCAGCUUCAUCAGCAACUACAGGAGGAGCUUCAAGUUUUUCAGAGACUUCCUCUUUAUUUUCUAAAUCCUCAUCCUUACUCUCUUCCACUUUAUCUCCGACGCUCUCGUCUACAUUCUUGUCUACGAUAACUUCAGCACUGUCGACUUUUUCUGCUUCACUCGGAAUCGGCUCUUUGUCUUGCACAUCACUUUCAUUCUUCUCUUCUUCGAUCUUAGUCUCCGGAUUCUCAGGCUCUUUCGCAGUUUCAGUAACUACACUUUCGGCAUUUGCCUCACUAACAACUGCACCGACAGAAGGAUCAGAUGACUGAGCUUGAACUGCAACUUCUUUCACCAGUUCUUCUUCGCCCUUAUCGCCCUCGACAUCUUCUUUAAUUGGUUCAUCAACUAACAUUUCCUCAACCUUAUUGCUCUCAUCUUCCGAUUUCAGCGGUUCUAUAACUUCCUUCUCUACAAAAUCCGGUUUUGGUUCUUGUACUGGAGAUUCCUCAAUCUUUUCUUCCGAUUCUUCUGCUCCAGUUUGUGGUUCUUUAGCUUCUUUUGAUUCUUCGUCGGUAGCUUUGUGUUCCGACUCUAAAGGAGCGGAAACGUCGACCGCUUCUUUAGGAUCUUUUGCCUCUUCCACACUGCUAUCGCCAGCCACAGCAAUCUCUUCUGAUGCAGAAUCUUUAACGCUUUCUUCCUCAGAUUUUUCCUCUUUUGCAGAAUCCGGCUUCGAUUCUUGAAGCGAAGGUUGCUCGGACUUCUCCUGUGAUUCUACUGCUUCAUUUUGUGGCUCUUUUGCAUCGUCAACGUCGGCUUGGAUCUUUGGUUCCGUACCAGUAAUUCCCUCAUUUUUGGGUUCAGCGACACUCUCUUCUUUGCCGCCCUCCGUAAUACUGUCGACCACUUCCUUCUCCUCGACAGCCUGCAUAUAUUUCAUGAAAGAUAACUACAGAAGGAAAUAUUUUGGCGCAACUAUCUGAACAGUUAAUGUAUCACUACAUAUCAUUACAUUGCUUUGGAUGAUUUAUUAAUUGUCAUGCUGAAAGAAUGAAAAAUCCUGGUAAUGCAGCGGCACCGGAUCAGUAUACUGAAACCAACUUUUGAUGUUCAUCACAAUUCAAACUUGGAAGUCAGUCAUGUCGCGGACUUAUUAGAUAGGGCAAACCUGCAGCCCCACUGUUCCCGAGGUAUUAGUCGAAAUUUUGUAGCUUACGCCUUAUGGUGACCCUCGGCAUAUAAAACCUUCUAUGGUCCUCGCUUAGGAUAAUUCUCGAUAGGUUGUGUGCAGUCGCAAAUUUGAGAUAUCAAAAGAGCUCAGAAAUCAAAGUAGAGAAUAUUAAGGGCAUAAUUAUAUUUUUGUUUCCAUAAACUCGAAAAUUGAAUUCUUCACUGUAGCUGUUUUAUAUCUCCUGCUCUUGUGUAGUCCUUCCAUUUUUCUGCAUCUCGCAAUUGAAUUCGAAGCAAACACGUUUUACAUGCGGAAGUAUUGUACAUUCUGAAUUCUAAAGCUCGGAAAUUAUGCCAAAACACGCUUCGAACUUCAAACAAAACACAUAGUAGAAAUCAAUUCCUCAAACAAAAUAUAAUAAAUUGAAAAGGAAAAAAAAUGGCAAACAAGCCCCAAAUUGUAUGGCAAAAAGUAGUAAACAAAAAUAAAAGGCAGGCAGACAUAACUCAUAAGAGAUGUUUUAGCAUUCUAGACUAAAAUCAAGGAUGAGAGUUUUCUGUCAUUUCAAAUUAUGCAGAGGAAAAACUUGAGCUCCAGAGAAUGGUGUUUUUAGUAUUUCAUAUUUAAUACUCCGCCUCCUGUCUGAGCUCGAGACAUUCUGAUAGGUCCAACACGUAAACUUGAAUUAAAUAGAAGGAAAUUAAUGGUAUCAAAAAGCCUGGUGGGACUCGAAUCUACGACAUUCCACUUUAAUAGCAGAUUAAAGAAUAUGAAAGAACUAUUAUUCUCUAAGAACUUAAGCUCUAGAGAAUGGUGAUUUUAAUAUUUUAUAUUCAACGUGUACGCCAUUUUUUUUCUCUUUUUUCUUUGAUAAACCAAAAAAAAAAGAAGAGAUGAAUAGAUGAUUAGGCUAUACAUACAUUACUUACUCUGGGAAACAUAAUAAGCAUCUAUAUUCUCUGACAGAUAGUAUUAGAUCUUCCAUGGCCAGCUUAUUCACAUAAAUAUAAUAUCAGGCUAGAUAUGUCAAUCAUCUUUUCCAUUGAUUUAUGAGGAGUGUAAAUAAUCAUACAAUAUUUAAGGAUCUGAUGCAUGCAUAUAUCAUUACACCAAAUAAAGUUCUUAAUUAUUAUUAUUAUUAUUAUUAUUAUUAUUAUGAUUGUUUAUACUUCAUAAGAGGCCUAAAGAGAUGGAUCCCUACAAGUCCAGUUUCAAAUUUAAUCAGAACAGAUUAGAAGAAACAAAAAGUAAAGGAAAAAAAAAAAAAAAACUGCCUCAUGCAUAGAUUUUGGUUUCUCUUCUCCUCUCUCUCUCUCUCUCUCUCUCUCUCUUCAUUUUCUGCAGGUUUAUCAGCUUAAAUGACAAGUUUUUGGUCUUAAAUGACUCAUAAAUGCUCAAGUACUUGCAGAGAGAUUUGUCCAAUAGGAAAUAUUGUCUCCAAGGAGCAUAAGAUCACCAAAACAGUGGGGAUCUUUUUUCUUGCAUAUAUCAUCAUAAAAACAACCACAACCACACACACACAAAAAAAAAAAAAAAAAAAAAAAAAAAAAAAAAAAAAAAAAAAAAAAACCAGAAACAUAAGUUUUUUUUUUAAAAAAAAACACAAAAUGAAGCAUGGGCUUGUAAUCUGCAUACCUUAUCAGUUGCUUGAUCUGUUGGUAAAGCCUUAGUAGAAUCCAUGGAUGGAGAGAAAAAGCUUACUACUACUACUUCUCCCCAAGUUAAUUAUCACCCCUUUUUAACUUCAGAAUUUCAGAUAAGAGGCAAAAGCAAAGUAGAGGACCAAAAGAGGAGCAAAGCACAAUGAGAGAGAGAGAGAGAGAGAGAGAGAGAAAAAGAGCUUUUUCCUUUUUUUUUUUUUUUUUUUUUUUUGGUUAUUAUUCAUAACAGUGUGGCAGAAAAGCACCACAAUAGCUCAGUUGGCUAGAGUGCAGAGAGCCCAUGAGCUGUCAUGAGCUGGGGCCCAUCAGAUUGUCUGAUUCCUCUUCUAUGAAAGAAAAAGUAAUUAAAUUAAUUAAAGAAUUCUAAAUUAUUCUUUUAAUUUAGUUAAAAAGAAGAGAAUUGCACUCCUUUUUCUGGCAUGUACACUCUGUCUUUCUGCAUGAGUAUGUGAGGAAAAUAUGUAUUAGGAAAUAGUGAUCUCAAAAGGUGUGUUUUGAUGUAAAUACAUGCAUUAAUACAUUAGUCAAAAAAGGAAAAAGGCUCAAAUACAUUGUUUCACAUGUAAAACCAUUCCAUUAAUCUAUGAUUCCUAUUUUACUUCUAUGUGAUCAUCUUUCCUUGGAAUGUCUUUAUAAUUGAAUAAUAUGUAUGUAUGUAAACAAUUGUUGACAAAAUGAUGUUCUUUUUUGAAUCACAAAUUGGUGAAGUAAAAUCAGAUUACACAACAUGGGCAUCCAAAGUUUUUUUACCUAUGUAUGUAUUCAAAAAUGCAUGGAAUUGGCAUGAUGAUGAGGAUGAUGAUAUCAGGCCUUUUCCAAAAGAGGGUGCUCAUGGCUGUUGCAUGGGGCACACCACACAUGGGUGAUCACUGGGGGAAAAUAAUUUAUGGGGAGCACCUAACGAACGCCUCUGGCAUGUGUCAGUUUUAUCUCUAUUCAAAAAUAAUUAUUUUUUUUUGAGUUUUAGUAUUUAAAAAUAUUUUAAAAAUUUUUGAGUGCAAACAAAACUAACACAUGACAGUAGAUCGGAAGCUUUCGAUCCAGGUGAGUUCCUCGCUGAAGUUUUAUCCAUCACUGUGUAUGGCUUGAAUUCAACUAAGAGAUUUCAGAGGGUGCAAUUAAUAAGAGAUACAAACACACAACACACACACAAAGCAGUGGGGGUUAUUUUCAUACAUAAAUUUUUGAUUGACAGAUAGCCCUUUGUCUUGUUAUCUUCCAGUCCUCUAGUGUUCCUUUCAGAUUGUGAUAUGCUUUCUGUAAGAAAUUAAGACCAUGUUCUCUCUUUUGAGAUCUGGAAAUUUCCAAGGCAACUUCACCAAAUUUUUUAGAGUAAGUGGCAAAGGGCUUGGUGGUUGGUACCCGAGACCCAAGUUCGAAUCUUAGUUGAUUCACAUUUGUAGCUAAGUUUAUUUCUAAAUGAAAUAAACGAAGCGGGUAGCGUGCUACCUAUCUCUCAAAAAAAAAAAAAAAAAAAAAAAAAAAAAACUUUCACCCAAUUCCGUACUGUUGCUAGCAAUUAUAUAUAUAUAUAUAUAUAUAUAAUCUUGAAGAAAUAGAAACUAUUAUCUGUACAGCCCAAAAGAUAUAUAUAUAAAUCUUACAUUCUAUAUGGCUUCUAUUAUCAGGAAUAUGCAAUCUCCUCAAUCUUAAAUUUAUUUUAAUUUUUCCAUGGGCCCUCUUCAACCGCAAAAUAUUUUUUUAAUACAAAGUUUGGUUGUCCUUUUACUAGAUUAAAAUUCCAAAUGACAUCAUAUCACAACAAAGAGUCAAUUAUUUGAUCCUUCUAGCUAUAAUUACUUUACAAAAAUAAUAAUUUAAUAUCAUAAUUUAUGUUUCUCAAGGACAUAAUUGAGAUUACAUUGAGCACAAGAUGAUGACAUUUGUGUAUUGGGUAGGUGAGUCAAGGUUUGUUCUUCCACAUACAGACAAAAUGCUUUCGACAAUGACAUGGAUACUAAAUUUUGAGAUAAUCUUGAUUUAGAGUAGUCAUAAAUGUUUGAUUGCAACAUAACUAAUUAAUCAUUUUUCAAUUUAAAUCUCAUAUUAAAUGAAAAUUAGAAUUCCAAUUUCUAUAUACUAUAUAUAUGACAAUUUUAUCAUCUAUCGGCUUAAACUUCUGGAAUGGUUCGAACUGUAUUACAAUACCUCGACUAUCAUAUGCUUACACUUUUUAUUUUCUGGUAUCAAACUAGUACCAAGCCAGCGCUCGAUAUUUUAAGGAUGCAAACGGGGCGGAUUUGGGGGCAGGAGCCCCGCCCCGCCUCCCGCCCGCACUAUCAAAAUCUCGCCCCACCUCCUGCCCCGAAUGCGUGAUGGGUUAAAAAAUAUAUCCCAUAAUUCGCCCUGCCUUGUAACCCGCCUUCCGCCGACGCCCCGAAUCCGUCCGCCAACUAAUAUUUUCUAUAUAAUUUUUAAUAAUAUUAUAUAUAUAAUUAACAAUUUCAAUUAUAAAAACUAAAAAUAUCAAUUACAAUUCGGAGCAAAAUUUAAAAGUUUCAAAUAGAUGAGAAAUGAGAGCAUUAAUUUAUUUGUAUUUUGAACUUUUUUGUAAAUACAUUAUUUUUUAGGAAUGUUUUAUAAAAAUGUAAAAAAAUUUCGGGGUGGAUCCGGGACGGAUCAUGACGGGGCGAAUUCGGAGCAAAUUUAGGGUUUUCCGUUUCCUGUCCCGAAUCCAUUUCGGAUCAUAAAAAUUGUCCCGUUUUCCACCCUGAUUUACUGCCCCAUUCGGGGCGGAUCUAGGCGGGAGCUCCACCAACCCAGAUCCGUUUGCAUCCCUAAUUCGAUAUUCUAAAUCCGUCCUAGACCCAUCUCUAACCCGUCCCCGAACCGCUACGCUCGAAUCAAUAUUAUUUGUUUCAAUUCGAACAGUAUUUCAUAGCCAUUCUAACAAAAGGUGUUCUCCCACUAUAAGAAAAUUAAUAUUUAAUAAGUAUAUUUUCUUUCUGGUAUUCAACGAUAUUUAAAAAUAUUUUUAAAGUAAUUUACUAUUAAUUUGAAUGCAUCAACAAUAAAGAGUUGUUAUAUAUAUACUGACACUUAUACUAAAUGUUGGUAAAAUAUAUCAUGAUACUCUAAAGUGUUGAAAAAUUAAAAAAAAUAAUAAUAUUUAUUGUUCAAUAAAUUGGUUUAAUAAAAUAGUUUAAUAAAAUAGACGGUUCAUAUAACAAUAUUUUUUAAAGCAUCGGUAUUUGUUAUCGUCUAAAAAAUAUCGUUGUCGCGCUUGGAUAUUUAUUUGUUGCAUCACUAUUGGACUAAUGCUUAACUAGUUGGACAUCAUUAAAUGCAUGUGAUUAACCCAUUUAAUUUUUGGCCUUAGAUUUAAGAAAAAUAUAAUUUGGCCCCUCCCCAAAUCAAAAGAGAGGAAAAAAAAAAAAAAAAAAAAAGGGAUAAGGUUUACCCUACAAGAGCACAUUUUAAUGUGAUGGGUUCCAAUUGCUUUGUCAUGCAUGGGUCCCUAAGGUCCCCUACUUAAUACAUGACCUAACCUCUUGGACUCAUCAUCUUGCUUCAUUUUUGAAGCCUCAUUAAAAAAAAAAAAGAAAAAAAGAAAAAAAGAAAAAAAGUUAGGGCUUCAUCCAUUGGGUUCAAAUUUAAAUUUGAUAAGCUAGAACUUGUUGUUGAAUUGUUGUUUGAGUAGAAUUAUUUAAAAAUAUUGUACCGUAAUUUUGACAUAAAUGUCAAUUUUAUGAAGAAAUUUUGUCCUGCUUUUAUCGAAUCGUACUCUGAAUAACAUGCUAUUAGAAAUCUAAUUCUAAAACGCCUUGUGUCGAAAUUUUUCAUAUUCGAUUAAUUUCCACAUUGACCAAAAGGCAUAAAUUAACUUUGAUUGUUAUUCUUUUGCCUCUUUUAUUAUUUUCAAUGUUACGACACAUGGCAUAUAUGAUUCACCUAUUCUUCACUAUGAACGAAAAAUGGAGACGUUAAGAUUAUUUCUGAACUAUUUCCCAUCCGAUCUAUCUUUUGAAUAACAACUCCCAAUAAAUUUUCCUUCUUUUUUUGCCUAGCAGAAGCGAAAAAAUUGGGACUACUACUUUUUGAAUGAAAAAAUUUAUUUCAACUUCGCAAUGCAGCAAAAGCACAAAAUUUUUUGUUCCUAACUCAAUAAACUGAACCAUAUUAGGACCAAACUGGCUUGUGUGGAUCAGAAUUUGCUUUUCUUUUUUUCUUUUUUUUUUUUUCCUUUCUCCUUUUUGUUUUUUGUUUUUUGUUUUUAACAAAAGAAAAGGUAUGGAACAUCUUGAUAAGUUUAAAGGAUCCAUUGGCAACAAUAGGAGAUAUAUAUAUAGAUAGGAAAAUGAUGAGAGAAUGCUACUAAAGCCACACAAAAAAUGCAUGGUUCAACUACAUCCCAAUUACCACACUAUUCCAAACAAUGAGAUUGAUGUUCUCUCAUUUUCACAGAAAAAAAAAAAACAAAAAAAAACAAGUCAAUAAAUUUGUCACCAUAAUGAGCUACUAAUUCUCUUGAGCUUUUACUUUCAAAGGUGAGGAGGUUUGAUGAGGAUAAUAUAAUUAAUGUUACUUUUUUAUUUUUUUUAUAAUAUAUGAAAGAUUUAAUAAAAGAUUUAUUGCAUAUUAAAUUAUUAAGAAAAAAUCAUGUUAAAGUCUAGUAUUUAUGUGGUUAAUUGAGUUUAUUAAUUUGACCUGCUUCAUAAUUGGGCCCAAAGAGAGAUAUUGGGCUCAAAGCAUUUGUGAAACAGAAGAAAAUAAAGGCAAAAUAUUAAUCCAUUUAAAAUAACAUGGUGUUAGAGCAAACCCUAUACGGCCGUGCGCCUAUGCCGCCUCCAGUAAUGGCCAAGAGAUCGAUCAUGCACUCUCACUGUACGUGGCAUAGUUUAUCUGAUCUCCAACACGCACAUGAGCAUGCAGAAGUGUUAAGAUUACGUCUGAACCAUUUUCUAUUAGAUCUUUUGAGUAAUCGAUGCUAAAGAAUGAUUAGCCAACCGGGUCUAAUCAUUUACCAGAGCUUGCGCCUGGCCCGAACCAACCUGGACUAAAAAUUCUCAAAUUUUAAGAUGGCUCGACCGGAUAAUAAUAAACCCAAGUCGAUCAAACCAUGGUUUUCUUUUUUGUUUCAAAUUUAAUUAUGCUUCAUAUGAUCAAAUAUAUAUAUAUAUAUAUAUAUAUAUAUAUAUAUAUAUAUUUUGUUGGACAAAAUAAAAAGGCUAGAACACAUAAAACUCCCCGUGUAAGUACCUUUUUUUUUAUUAUUUUUUCUCUCUUGACUUUCAAAACUAUAGGUAGCACGCCAUCCGCUUCGUUUAUUUCAUUUAUAAAUAAACUUAGCUGAAAAUGUGAAUCAACUAGGAUUCGAACUUGGGACCUCGGGUUCCAACCACUAAGCCCUUUGCCACUUGUUCUAGAGACAGUCGGUUGCCCCCUUAAAUUUUAGAAAUAUUUUUAAAAGGUUACAGUGUUAAUGUAGAGAAUGAAAUAAUCAAAUUGCCCCUAUAUUUUCUAUAAGAAAAAAAAAUAUAUUUCUAUUAUUUUCAAGGAUAUUUUCAAUAUAAAUUGUAAGAAAUUGACAGAAUAGUAACAGAACCCUGACAAGAGGAGGCAAAAUGCAUCAACUUGAAAUUUAGAGGGGGUAAAAUAUAGAUUUUUGAAAGUCGGAGAGCAAAAUGGAAAAAUGGAUAUGUACAGAGAGUUUUUUGUAUUUUAGCCAAAUAGUAAAAAAAAAAAAACCUUCUUCUCGUUCUACUUCAUAUAAGGCCUAAUAUCUUGAUGGCCCGGCCCAAUCAAAUGGGCCCAAUAUAAGAAAGUCGGCAUCAUUAGAUAUCUCGGCAACGACUUUAACACGAACUCGGCGUUUCCAAACUUAAUUUGAGCCACCGACAUCUCUUUAUGAGGUCUCGCCAUCGAAAGGGUCUGGCGUAAGAAGAGAUUUUCUCCUCUUUUUUUUGGCUUUUUUCCCUUUUUCAUCGUACGUAAAUAGUUAGGUAUAUAAUGUUUUGUCGUAAUUAAUAUAAGUUUCACCAAGAAUUACGUGUGAAGGAGAUUAUUAAAUUUGGGUAGUGGUGAAGCAUCAUGUUUAAGUUUUGUUUCUUUAUUAUUAUUGUGAUUGGAGUUUUUAGGGUUAGUUGGGCGUUACGUAGGGCUUACGUAGCAGCCAUUUCCAUCACAUUUAUGAAGGGAAGUUGAGUCCACUGUAUACUUUCCUAUUAUAUCAGUCAUUUGGACAAUUAUAACUUUAGUGUCUACUUUUGAACCCUCUUAGUUACAAGGGUAGAUUUGUAUGAUUAAUCGCUUUUAUUAGUUUGUUUCAUUAAUUAUCUCUUCUGUCAGUGCAUGCGCUACUGUUCUCUUGGUCUCCAUCAUUCACAAGAGGAGAGGAUACUACGGCUUUUUAGAACCGGCUUUUGCUUUUGCUUUUAGCAGCAGCGAAGUUUUGGUAAUUCGUUUGCUUAAGGGAACAAUUUGAAGCCUCUAACACAAAAACUCCAAUUUGUUGUUUCUGUAAUUAAUCUACUUCAAAAUAAAUAGCAUAUAUAACCGGGGAAGCACUGUAUUAAACAACACUAUACUCUAUAUAGCAGCGAAAAUUUUGUUCUGCGUUAACCCUAAUAUUUGAGGCAGAUGCUGAUGCUAUAACAGCUCGAAUUGAAUGGGCCCCUUUGGUCUUAAUGAGUUUACUGUUUGUCAAAGUUUGAUUAAGAAAUGCCAAAUGAUACCCCUUUCAACAAUUAAUUCAACAAUUGUUGCGAUUAAUGCGCGUAACAUAUAUAUAUAUAUCAACAUUGUGGCCCUUGUUUAGCUCCAUAUGAUGUACGUACGUACUGCUUUACAGUACAACAACAUUAUCACACAGGAAAUGUGAUUGCAAAAGGUGGCGACGAGGUUGAUUAAUUGUUAAUUUCUCUUUGAUCCUCAUUUUCUUUUGCCCCUUAAUUACCUUGUUUCUGUUGCUAUAUAUCUUUCAUUUCGGCUCUACGAUCUUAAUUUCUCUUAUUUCAUUUUAGCACAAAAUGUGAAGCUUGGAAAAACAUCAAAAUACUUAUUAAUUGCUCGAUUUGCUGUUUAUCCACAUUUCUACGGAUAAAUAGCGAAUCUAGCUAUCAAUAAGUUGAACCAUGCUAUAUUAUAGAUAUAUAGAUAGAUAGAUAGAUAUUUAAUUAUGCACGUAUCUAGAAGGAGUAUAACAAGUCCUUUUAUUUCACAAUCAAAUUGUUGUGUAUAUAUAUAUAUAUAUAUAUAUAUACGCGCGUUCUUUUAUUUCAGAAUCUCGGUUAUUUUCAAGAAAAGUAAUGAUAAUAGUAAACUCAGCUAACAAAGUUGGGUGCAGGAGAAAUGUGACUACUCAGAUCAAAUGUAGGGUCGAUCGAUCGGGUUUUAAUUUUAAUUAAUUAGUUGAACAUAUAUAGAUGUAUGUAUAUUGCUACUAAUAUAUAUAUAUAUAUAUAUAUAUAUAUAUAUAUAUAUAUAUAUAUAUAUAUAUAUAUAUAUAUAUGUGUGNUAUAUAUAUAUAUAUAUAUAUAUAUAUAUAUAUAUAUGUGUUAGGGUUAAAUUGGGAAUUAAUUAUAUAUGUGGUCAUUUUGGUCUCCACCUACCCAUCUUUUGCAUGAAUAUAUAUAUAUAUAUAUAUAUGAAAAGGUAAAACAACAUUAUCUUCACACCCUUUCCGUGCGAGCUGAGAAAGCGAAUCAUUCUAGUCAUAUAUAUAUAUAUAUAUAAUAACCUUAAUUGAAAAUAUGUAUAUAAAUGUCAUUAUCAUGACAAAAUUGCAUAACUUAUGCAAUUGCUGUAGCUUGAUUGUUUGUUUUAUUCUCUGAUGAAUGCAAUUUGAAUAGCACUGGCCAGUGCAUAUAAGUCGUCGGAAACGGAACCCUAUUACGUACAGAACAUUAAAAAUGGGGAACAAUAAUUUUAUGCAUGUGGUGCCAAAUUAAUGGACGCUGUAUUGCUAUGAUCUAUUUUUCAUUUUUGAGCAUAUAUGCACUUUUGGGCAUCUUUUACUACUGUAAAAUUUGUUAAUAUAUAUAUAUAUAUAUAUAUAUAUAUAUAUAUAUAUAUAUAUAUAUAUAUAGAGUUGACAGACCAAAAAAUGGGUCAGUCGACAAACCAAAAUUUGAAAUACGUGCUUUUAUAUAUAGUAUAGAUAUAUAGAACUAGGCUAAUAUACUAUUAAUAGCACAAGUCAUUAAUUGGUUCUACCAAGUUUUUGGCCAUUGGAUUAAGAAAUGUACGGUUAGGAUGAUGUGGGCCUUCUAGGGUUGAGUGGGUGGUUGGUUGAAUAGUAUGAUCUAACGGGUGAAAAUGAUCAAAAGGGUAGAUCUAACGGCGGAUAUAUAUAUAUCGAUAGCACCAAGUGCUUGCGUAGCUAUAUCAAUAGCUAUAGUAGACAGACUAUAUAUACAGAUAUAGAUAUAAAUAGUAUAUAUAGAGAGAGAGAGAGAGAGAGAGAGAGAGAGAGAGAGAGAGAGAGAGAGAGAGAGUUGAACUGGAAUGCUAUAUGUCGGUGGCAUUAAAUUUUUGACCCUUGGAUGAACCGGUGUAUAAUUAAGAUGAUAGUGGUCCUCUAGGAUUGAGUGGGUGGUUGGUUGAAUAGUAUAAUCUAAUGGAUAAAAAUGAUCAAAGGGGUUGAUCUAGUAUAUAUAUAGAGUAGGGCUACUACACUCUUAUGAGUAUAGAGCCCUUCGUAUUCAUAAGUUGUUUUCGAUGAUAGAGCUUCCGAGUCGACAAUCCACUCCGUUAAAUAUGAUCUAAAGUAUUUGAAACUUCUAAAAAAUAAAUUUCGUAAUUUUUCGAAAUCAUAGUAAAGUCUAUCAAGCGGAUAUAAAAUGAACGAUCAAAAUCGAACAACAUCCUAAAAAGGAUGAUCGGAUCCUUUAAUUAAAGAUCGGAGUUAUUGAUCUUUAUUUAGAUAGUGAAUAAAAUUUUCUAUCAAAUAUUCAACCGAUUCGGAUUCUUUUAUACCAUUAAACUAGCAAGUAUUCCAUACCAGCUGUUAAAAAUUAUCAAUUUUGAAAUCUUUUGAUCGUAAGGUAAAUGAUGUGAAAAAAUUAUAAAAUUUAAUUUCUAGAAGUUUCGAAUGCUCUAGAUAACGUUUAACGAUAUGGAUCAUCGAUUCGGAAGCUCUACCAUCGAAAACGACUUAUGAGUACGAAAGCGAUUGCAUUCAUAAAAAUACAGUAGUCGAACUCUAUAUAUAUAUAUAUUUAUAUAUAUGAACUUGAAUAUACAAAUUAAGUUUGAUGAGUUACACAUAUCUUUUGCUAUAAAGUUAAUUUUGUUGCUUUGCCCAAAGCAACUUCAUGUAUGAGUAUGCUAAAUGGAUGCUUUUUGUAUUGCAUAUAUACUAGCGUCUAUUUUCUCUUUUUCUUUCUUUUCUUUUCUUUUUUAUUUUUUUUUCUAAUCGAUGUUCAAAAUACAUAUGAAAACUUUCACUAGAAUAGUGUUGUAUUAAGCAUGAUAUAGAAAAUGUCCCCAUAUUGUCUAUUUGGACGAAUAGAAAUUAAUUUUCAGAACCAUCGUCGAUCAAGUGCUUAAUUUCUAUGCAUUAAUUAGAUAUAUAUAUCAUUUAUAUGUAUAUAUAAACUUGAGAAAGUAGUUUGUCUCCUGUUUGGUCUCACUUCUGAAACAACUUUUUAUUUUGAGUAGCAGCAAAAACUCUCAAUUCAGUGCAAUGUUGUACUACGAUGCUUGUAGUAUUAUCAACCUAGCUACCCUGUUUUGUGAUGCAUUUAGUCCUUAGAAACCGUACAUAAUAUCUAUAUUAACGUGCGUAUAAUUAAAAUCUCAACUAUUAAUCUCACUACAAAAGUGAUCAUUUAUUUCCCUCAUGAGAUUUUUUUUUUUUUUUGAGAGAAAGGUAGCCUCAUGAGAUUAUAUUAAUUUUACUGGAUGGCAAAGAUUAAUUGUUAGAUGGAAACUGUGUCCUCAUAUGAUGCACAUCCCCCUUUUGUUCAUUGUUGGAUAUGUAUUAAGUUCUUAGAUAUAAUUAAAUACAUAUGUCUCUCCCUCUCUUUCCAAUUAGUUCUUAAAAAGAUUUUAAACAGUUGCGCGAUGUGGACUAAACAUCAUUAUCGAGUAAACAUUGGUCAUUAUGUUCAAUUAGUUGGUCUUCUUACAAGCAGCUGGCAUGUCCAUUAAGCCCUUUGAAAGAGAUGGUUUUAUAUAUAUUAGGUGGUGAUAUGAGAUCCCAAUCACAUCAUUCAAGGUAUUAUUGGGGGUUCCUUCGAGAUUCAUUCGUUUCAUGAAUCCGCAACCACUGAUACUCAAUAACCAACCAAAACAUCAUGUCGAGGCGCUGCUUAAUUUUCUAAUUUGUGUUCAUUAUUUUUCUUAUUCCAGCUUGUUUUAAACCGUGACGGAAUUAACCUGGUCGAUGUGCAUCGUAAGGGAGUCAUGUCAGAAAAAGUUGUUGACCUAAUCCUAGGAGUCGUCAUGAUUUCGAGUUGAAUGAGAGGGACAUAUUUUGAUGUCGAACAAUUUGAUUCCAUGCUAAUUAAGAAGUGAUUGCAAGUCUCUAGUCGAUAAACUAACGACAAAAGAAAUUUACCACACGUUGGAGGAAGCGCACGCAUUUAGUGAAGGACAUAAUAGCAAAGCAAUAUAUUUAAGUGGAAUAUUGGAGUGCAAGUUAGAAUUAUUACAAGCGAAAUAAACGAUGAAAGAUUAAUUGAGGUUUUAACCUUAAUCUUUAUUGUGUUAAUGCUCUCUAACUAGCGAUUUCGAGUGCUUCAUUUUCAUGCUAAGCUAAAGAUCCCUUGAAUAUUGUUCAUGGGAUCGACUCAUCAAUUAGAAAAGGUUUUAAUUUGAUCCAUGUCCUAUAUAUACAGGUGCAAUCAUGCUCCUUCAAAUCAAUUAAAAGAUUUUAACUUCAAUUCAUGAGGGAGAAAAAAAAAAAAAAAUGUAAGCAACCAAAGAAUAUAUCUUUGCUUUAAGAGUCGUGCUGGUGUCGGGUCCACGGCCCAGCGAGCCCCUUGUAAUUAUUCCCUGAACCCCGUUCGUUUUCUAUGCCACUCGUGACCGGCCACGUGGAAAAUCAACGGUGCUAAAACCGCGGUCUACUGAUGUUCUCAUGCACCGGGUGUAGGUCGUGAUUAUACGCCCACGCGACAAAAAAGUCGACCGUGGCGGGCGCCCGUGAGACCCGCGAUCCGACGUGGCAGCGCGUUGACUUUCAACGGCCGCCUCUUCUCAUCGCUCUUCGACCGUACGAUUUUAUCCGAGAUUCGCGGUGGUGGUUUCCUUCCGCCACGUGGCGAGUUUUCGCAGGUAAAGCGUUGCUUAUGGACCACGUCACCCACCGAGGCGCGGGCCCCACAGUCUUAUUGGCGGCGGGACCCACGUGCGACAGCGCGGGCUCACGUGCGGGUUGGCGCCUUUUGUUCUUUUCUUAAGAGUCCCUGUACUAUUCCGAAACUGCAAUUUAAACCAUUUAUUAUCUUUUUUCUUUUCCUUUUUGAGUAAACUUUAAUUUGUACUUAACUACAGUUUAGCUUAUUUUUACUCUACCACCAUAUAAACUUACACUUAACUACUUUGUAAUUUAACUAAUAUUUACUUUGCUCCCCCGACCCCUGUGGUUUAAAAAGUUAUAUUUAAUUAUUCUGUCUGUAUCAAAAAAUUUAUUUUGCUAUCUUAUUUAAUAGUAGCUAGCUUUUUUGAAUAAAAUUAGAGAUAAAAUCACAGGAUUAUUAAGUACAUGUUUUUUGAAUUACAGGGUGAAAAAUUAGCUUUAUAAACUAUAAAAUAGUAAAGGGCGAUAAGUAUUUUUAAUGUUAUGUAGUUUAAAAAGUAUAGCACUUUAAUUAUUAUCGCGCUUUUAGCUUUGCAUAUUUGUCAAAAAAAAGUAAAAUUAAUGAAAGUCUACUAUAAUUAAAACUAAAAAGAUGUUUAUCUUUUCGAAUUUACUAUGUUAAAUAAUGUAAAAGUCUAGCAAAACUCGAACCGGUCAGAAUCUUUCAUUCUGAUAUUUAUAAAAUAAUUAUUUAAUUAUCUUCAUGAGCUUUAUUAAAGAAUGAUAUAUAUAUUUUUUUGUAGAUUUGUAUAUUAAUUCAACAUACCAAAUUAACGUUGUAGUGAAAAUAACUGCAGCAGCAGCAGCUAUAAAUAUAAUUAAUUUCUAAUUAAGGAGGGUACUGUACGUACAUGGUGCAUGAACUGGAGCAUGCAUGUACAGAGGAAUUAAACUAACCUACAGUGAGUCCAAUGAUGAAGUUCUAAAGUUUUCUCUUGAGAGAUCAUGAGGGCCUAUAUUAAUUAAACUGAUCAUAGCUAUAUAUAAAUAUAUAUAUAUAUAUACUAGUAAAAUAUACGUGCAAAUGGACGUAAUAAUUAUUAGAAAAAGUUAUAAUUUUUUUAAAUUAUUUUUUAAUUUUAGGCCAUAUUUUAUAUGAUUGCCAAAUAUGUAUCUAAAAAAUUUAAAAUAAUAAAUCACGCUAUUAAGAAAUAUAUGCUUUAAAUGAUAAAUAAUUAACAAUAAUCUCUAAUGCAAAAAUUACUUUUGAAAUUAAAUAGAAAAAUAAAAUCUGUUAGGAAAUAAAUUUUUGAAAUUAAAUAGAAAAAUAAAAUCCGUUAUCUUAAAAAGAAAAUAUAUUUUGAAAUUAAAUAGAUAAUAUCUAAAAAAGAUAUUUUAAAAUAAAAUAGGAAAAUAUUUUUUAUAGGAUUUUCACACCCGUAAUCUGUUAUAGAUCAACCUACUUUUGAAAUUAAAUAGAAAAAUUUAUAUUUUUGGAUUUUCACAUCAGUAAUUUAUUAUAAAGCUACUAUACUUAUAUGAGUAUAGAGCCCUUUGUACUCAUAAGUUUUCAGCCGUUCAGAUGAAAAAAUAUACGCUUAGAAUGAAAGUGGUUACGGUUAGGUUGAUAGUGGGCCCCCUUAGGGUUGAGUGGGUGGUUGGUUGAAUAGUAUAAUCUAACGGGUGAAAAUGACUAAAGGGUAGAUCUAACGGUCAAAAACUUAUAAGUACAAGAGGCUCUAUAUUCAUAAGAGUAUAGUAGCCGGACUCUAUAUAUAUAUAUAUAUAUAUAUAUAUAUAUAUAUAUAUGCAUGCAUGGGCAUAUGGGAUGGCCCUUUUGAAUUCCUUCCCUCUCCUUUACUUAAUUCACCCCUCCAUUAUUGCUACCUAGGAGCUAGCUCUCUAGCUAUGUACAUGUCUCUUUCUUUUUCUUUUUCUUUUUUUUGGCCUUUUCCUUUUUUUUCUUUUUCCUUGUACUUUGGAAAUGGUGGAGGACAUAACCUUAAUGCAUGGCCUGCAUGGGUGUGUGUCAGUGUGGCUCUUGAAAGAAUCUUCUCUUCUAACAAAUUCCCUAUGGACCCUUUGAAACCCUAGGGACAAAUUAAAGGGAGGGUCCUGCCAUGUUGUUUUGUUCCUCUUGUUGGCCAUUUACCCCUUUAUUAUGGGCUACCAAGAGGAAUUCUUAUAUAUGCCAAAUAAUGUGAAAUAAUAAUCAUGCAUGUGCAUGGUUAAUUUCCAAGAUUUUACAUAUAUCCAAUGCAUGUACUUAUUAAUUUCAAGAUGUGCGUGACUUUGAAUUAAAUGAGAGGAAAGUAAACGAGACUAGAAGCUCGAUGUAAUUUGAACUUCGCAUCUCCUGCUUUGAUAUCAUGUGAAAUUGUUCUCUGAAAACUUAAAGUUAUUAGAAAAGAAUGUUAAUAAUUACUUAAACUAUCAGAUAACGGUAUUUUCAAAAUUUAUAUAUAUUCGACGUUUUUUCUCACGCUUGGACUUGAAACAAUUUGAUAAGAACGAGACGUGAACUUGAAUUAAGUGGGAGUAGACUAAAUAAUGCUGAGAGGUUGACGGGAUUCUAAUUCAAGAUUAUAUUCUGCUAUGAUAUUUUUUUUGUUACAUUAAUUUGUAAAACCACUAUUAUUCUCCAAAAUUUUGAGCCACCAGAAAAUAGUAUUUUUAAUAUUUAUAUUCAAUAAUUUCUCUUCUCUCUCUCUCUUAUAUUUCUUUCUUUUCAUGUAUAUAUUAAGAUUAUUUCUUGGUUCUUCUAUUAAAUUAAUC
rnacentral:lncRNA from 1 species